rnacentral:lncRNA from 1 species
AGUUAUCCAUCAAAGACCACACAAAAUAACCUCUCACAUCUGCUCCUUUCCUGCACAAAAGUAGCAAAGUUUUAUUAUUACCUGGCUGGAGAGCAGUUUACAUGAAAAGAUAAUUGAGGCAUGCAACAACCUUAUUGCAAAGCUCAAGUAAGUGAGGUAGUCACGAAUGUAAGUUGAUCUUUCAAUAUCAUUAAUUAUUUCUUCUGCUGUAGUGCUAAUAUUGGCUAUUUGGGCAUAACCUGAAAGAUAAAAAAAGGGUGAUCAAGAGAUCCAUACAGAUAUUUUUUAUGGUACCAGUGUACUACAAGUGUAAUAUAUGUAAAUAAGCAUGGAAGUGAAUCAUUGUUAUGCACAAAGGCAUAUAUUUUGUAUCUAAUUUGUAGAUUUUAGGGAACCUAGUAACCCACCGUUCUCUGUGAUGUACAAAGGUAUGCUUUUAUAUCUCUGCUUUAAAUACAUGACCAACUUCUCCAUGGAGCUUGGAACGACAUAGGUGUUUGCAACAGGUGUCUGCAAUAUUAGUUUAGUUGUGUUAGCUUGUGCAUAAUUAAUUUGUAACUAGGAUUCUUGUUGAAUAGAAUAAUGCAAUAUACAAUGCCGAUUUUUACCGGUUUUCCAAUGGGUAUCCCAUUUCGUUCUGUUGAUAUAGAAACUAAAGCUUCAGAAGGGUAGGCGUCCAUAUCACAUAGAGAAUAUAUGCAAUCCUUGACAUAGAAUGUUUGGUAGUGAUUUACCCCGAUGAAGUCAAUUUGGUUCUUCAGUAGUUUCUUCUCUCCUUCUGUAAAUUUUGGCAAGUUUGGACCUAAGAUUUGGCGCAUCUGGUGAGGAUAGUCACCAAAGAACAAGGGAUCCAAGAUCCUGUUUUAGCAUAUAUCAUCAAGUGAGCAUUCAAUCGUGAAGAUCAAAAGUUAGUUCCAAUCGUAAAAUGCUAGUAUGAUGGAAGGUUACUGAAUCAAUUGAUACCAUGGAGCAUCGAAAGACAGAGCUCGGCUUACUGCCAAGUGGUCCUCUGUGAUAUUCCUUAGUGGUUCAUACCAUCUUAGAUGUAAUGAAAUUCCUACAAAGCCACCUUGCUUGGACUGAGAAGGAUGGGGAACAAGGAAAACAAAUUAUACAACUUUCAUGAGUAUUUAAGAGCAAGCACACGGUUAGUCCCCACUCCCUUUUGAUCCAAAUAUUUCUUUUGUACCUUGUAAUUCUUUCUGUAGAUGUUGACCGUCUUUGCAUGAGCUAAUAUCAUGUUAUGCGCUGCAAUGUAGGGCUCAGUUGAUGAAUUCCCUGAAUCACAUUUCCCAUAUGGCUCGGAACAACGGUUGGGUGGAAAUGCCCCAAUGGAGUAUGCAAGCUUUACAAUAAGAUUUGGCUCAUUGAAUGUGACCCAGUGCUUUACUCGGUCACCAAACAUCUUGAAGCAAAGCUCAACGAAGUAGGUGAAGUCCUCCCUGAAUAGAAAUAAAGAAACAACCACAUAUGAACUUACGGCAUCUUCGUAGAUAAAGCUAUAAUAUAGGUGACUAACUGAAUUUGACUUACUGAAUCUCUGGGUUCAACCAAGAAUUGUAUCUUUCUUGGAGUUCUUCAGGUAUGUCAUAGUGGUUGAUCGUCACAAAUGGUUGUAUCCCUGCUCCAAGCGUAUCAAAUGUCAGGCCCAGAUGAAAUAGACUGGACUGAAAGGCGUGCUUGUUUUGCAGGAUGGCAUUUGUGGAGGGAGGUAGCUGCCCGCAUAAUAGCAGAACAGAAGGCGUACCUUUUUCUAGCAGUCCGUUGAUGAGGCUAUUGUAGAAUUUAACGCCUGCCUGAUUAACACCUCCGAAGCGACCCUCUGGCCAUGGAUAUUUGAAAGGUACAAGCAUAUAAUUUAAGUUAAACACCGGCACUAAGGAAGGAUCACGUGCGUGUUGUCGAGCUGGUAGCUGUGUCAGAAGUCAUUGACAGUUGGUGUAAUUCUGAGAAUGAGCUCACUUGGAAGAAUUCUCGACCACGACAAUGAGAAUCUGUAGGAGCUGAGACCAAUCGAAUGCAUCAUUUCUAUGUCGUCCUGCCGGUGCUGACUUUGUGUGAGAUUGUUGACCCCCUCAUCUUUCUUGAUAAAGUAUCUUUUUGUUUCUAAUGAUGCUUACCUUGUAUCGAUGAUAAUGGUCAGCAGCUACGUCGCCAUUGCUUCCAUCGUCAAUAUUUCCUGAUUUAUGGUUAAUAGCCAAGACUAAGACAGCAACAAAAUCAAGCACGUCUGUGAUUUUCACGAUUUCAGCACUCCACAGGGGCAACCGGCCCUUCGUGACCUCGUCGUGCAGUCCUCGCUCCGGUAGCUCGAAGGAACGUCGCGAUCCAACGCGCGGUGUCCUGGCGUCGUGAGCUUAGACGGGCCUAGUGCAAGCUGAGCGGCUGGAUGUGCUGGACAGCGCUGUCGAGCGGCGAGAGCCGUCGAGUAGGCCGACUUCAGACGAUCUGACGAAUCCGAGCCGAAGAGUCAUCCUAAUCGGGCCCUCUAUUUCCUAAGCCCGGCCCUCCCAGUUCUAGCUAGCUAAACAGAAGAUGCAUCAUGCAUUCACUAGCCAAAAAAAAAAAUGUUCACUUCCUCCCCUGAUUCAAGAGCGUGAAAUGAUUUUCUAACUGAGACAAAAAGAGAAAGAGGAAAGCGCAGUGCGCAAUGACCUUCUAAAUAGAUACGUCUAAUUAACAUGCAAAAUGUAUGAGCGUCGAAAUUAGGUUAAACCAUUUAAUUUAUGACAUCAAGAAGAGUGUUGAAAAAUAUUUAGUACAACAUAAUUGAAAGUACCAAGCAAAAAGAGAAGGAGAUGGUAUUGCCACCUGCUGAUCCGGUCUGGCUAAUUCCAUAUAUAUUGUCUAGAACUGGUUAGGAUGGUUCAUUAACCGGCCGAGCCGGUUUGCUUGCUGUGUCCGAAACUUAUCGUGCUUAAAUACGUUAAGCGACAAACAAACAACACAAAUUAUUAGUUGGAUAUGUAAUCAUGUCUAGAUUAUAAUAAUAUAUAAACAGAUCAUUAAGUGGUUAUAUAAUUUAUAAGUUGGAUUAUAUAAUCCUGAGAGGAAACAAACAUAGCCUAAGUUGAUUUAUAAAUUAGUAUUGGAUCUAUUUUAGCGUGUAGGUCAUAUUUUGGACUUGGUUUUUACUAUGAUGAUACCAACUCUUUCUAUAUGUGAGAGCAUUAUGGCUGAUUAAGGAUACCAAGCUUUCAAUCGUCAGAAAAUACAUCAUCUAAUUUAUUUACCAUACUUUCUCUCUAUCUUAUUGUUCAUCAGGAGAUUUUAUAGGUGACCUUAACAACCCUAGAGAAAUCUUCGCGUACUAUUCUCUGAUAGAUCUUUUCGAGAGGUGACUAAGAGUAGGGGGGCCUGGGUCGGGCGCGUAUCCUCUAACAUCGACUGCACUGACGUUGGGUCACUGCACGUGGCCCUAGGCCCACGCGUCAGUGACCCACCUUGACGUCAGAGGAUCUCGACCCGUCUGGACCACCCGGGCCAUGGCAUUGGGACGUGACCCCAAAUUUGUUAACUCCCACGAAAAUAUUAAAAUAUUAUAUGAUUAAUAUUUGUUAAAUGGUUUAAGUGUUUAAUAUAUAUAUUUCAUUCUUGUACUAGAUUGUAUCUCUAGACUUGAAAUAAUUGAUGAAAAAGAACAAAGGUAUUACUUUACAAUGAUGUUUUUUGUCAUGUAACUUUUAAACUACUUGUUUUUGCCAUGCUUUCAUCAAAAAUUGGUCCAUAUGGCUUUAGUCAAUCUUGGUUCUGCCAUUGCCGAGAGUUUACCGAUAAACGAAAAACGGACUCAAUAUCAGCCUAACCAAGACCUCAAUCUGUUUAGUUGAUCCAUUGCAUUUUUGUUGCAAUCAAGAUUAUUUACAACCACAGGCAUACUAAUUUUAACAAAAGCUACGAAAAUAUCCCAAGAAUCCCCUUAACUAUAAGGGCUAGUUGGAGAGCCAUAAAACCGGAGUAGAUUAGAGGGGCUAAAAUUCCCUUCUUAGGGUUGAUUUGGUGACAAGGAGAUCACGAGGGGAUUAAGGAGGAAAUUAGAUGGACUAAUUUCCCCCUCAAUACCCUCCAAUCCCCCCGUGAUUCCUGGUCACCAAUAGGGCUAGUUGGCACCUCCAUUUUCCUAUGAGAUUUCCAAUUUUUCAAGGGAAAAUGAACUAAUUUCCCUGAAAAAAAAUAAAAAACUCUUGGGAAAAUAAGGUUCCCAAACUAGCCCUUAUUUAAAAUUGAAUAAGGACGAGAUUUUAGUUUUUCUAACCCUCUUCGGUUUUUGGACUCUCAAACUAGCCAUAAUAGUAGCUACUUCCACUAAGGUGGCCAAAGUUUGCUUGUACUCAUUAUUGAGUCGCUUAGAUGGAUUAGAUCAUCGUAUGCAUAACUGACACAUUUGGAAGCACCUGGAACAUGGGAGAAGACAUCCCAAUUGCUUAGGCCCUUGCUGUCGUCUAGGUAUGCGCCUUCGACCUAAAUUGAGUUAGUCAUAAGAAGGAAUCAAAUGGAAAGCGGUAGAGGAAGUAUUGAACUAACAUAUAUAUCAUUCGACACUGCAGGUAUGACCAGACCAUCAAAACAAAAAUUGGAAGAAAAAAGGUUUAGGGGAAGAUCGAGCUACACUUUCAUCGAGUAAAUGAGUAGUAAAAGGGGACACCAUUGCCGUGUAAUUAAUGUAUAUCAAGCUAUACUAGUGUUUUUUUAUAAAGUGGAUUAAGAUAUUAAAGGUAAAGUUGGGACUAUUAGAGCGUAGUCAUAUAAGUUAAAUACUACUCCCCUCAUCCCAAAUCAAUAUUCGUUUUAGUUCUUAGUUUUUGGUCUAUAUUCAAACAAAUGAUAAUAAAUUUAGACACAUAUAAAACACAUAUAUCAAUCGUAUGAAUCUAUUUAAAAACCUAAAACAGAUUUUAAUUUAGAAUGGAGGGAGUGUCAAAUAUUAUCUCUUGUCAGCCAACCAAACAAGCAUAUAUAGCUUGCAUGUAUAUAUAUGUGCCAUCGUAGCCUGUUCAGUAUGAGUCUGAUUCCCCAUCUAAAGAAGGAAGACAGCCAAACAGGGUAUAAACUAUGCAGCAGACUACUGACUACAUGCACGCGCGCGUUUAGAGCUAGCUUGUUGAGCUCGGCAACGGCUUCCAUACGGUGCCUACCUGGUAAGACGACGUGCUGGCGCCGAAGAGGAAGGACGGCGGGAAGUCGCUGCGGUUGAGGCCGGUGACGGAGGAGUAGAGGAGCGGAAAGAGGAGGAGGAGGAAGAAGAGACGCGCCAUCACGGCGGGCAGCCUGAGCAUCAUGGUCGUUAGCCUAGUGCAGCAUAUAUAUAGUUUCGGAGGAAGAAGAGUUUGUGUCUGGUGUUGUGCAGAGGUAGUUAGACUGUGCGGACAGCAGACGUUCUGCCCAACCAACAAAUAACUAAUCACCAGGCUACGCUGCGCAAGGAGCCAAUCACGGUCCUAGUUACUGAAGGCAACUUCUCACCGGCACGCAGGCCGGACCCGUGGCCAUGGUGCGGACUGCGGACCCCGGAUCGGCAGCAUGACGCCAUGUGACCGCCGGUUGCACGUGAUGUGAUCUUUCUAUCAACGUUGUAUCUGGCAUAGUGUAACACCGUAAAUUUUGAGAUAUAAAAUUUCUUUCCUAAUAUUCAUCAAAUUUAGAUGUAACUCUCUCAUUUCUUUGCUUUUCUGUUCUUUUUCCUAAAAAUCAAGAAUUAUUUUGUUUUAUAUUAACAUAAAACGAGUGGAAUAAGCCCUAGAGGCGCUUUGGUUGUUACAUUCAUACCGUUGCACGGUGUUUCUAAGUGCAAAAUGUGUUUGAAAUAUGUCCUAUAGAAGCUCUCGAUAGAUUUUCAUAUUUUUCGGAGUAGUUUUCUAUUUUCCGGAAACCAAAAUCUAUUUAUUUGAGGUACUUAAAAAUGUUUUUAGAAACUCUAAGUAUGUUUUUUGAGUUCAAUAGGUGCCAAAACAUUUCUAGGAAUUUUUAUGGAAUUUUUGGAAGCAUCUGUAAUAUUUUGACCACAAAUUAUGGAUUUCUAGGCUUUUCUGAAUUUUAUAAAUGGUAAAAACCCAAAUUUAAAUCGAAUUUCUAUCUCGUCCGAACCCUAGAUAUAUAUAUACAUGCCCAUCUUCUCCUCAUCGAGCACGUUCCAGAGCACGAAACAGUUUCCUCAGAUUCAAUUCCCAGCUCUCGGAAUUACUCACCGAAGUUUGGAAGCCGUUCCAACUCUAGCAAGCAAUUACUCCCAAUCCGUGCAUCGUCUGUGGAAUCCGAGGUUACUGCUGCGUUCGCCUCAUCGAGAGAUUCGUCUCGGUGUGUCCGAUUCGUCGAUCGGACCUCCGAAUCUCCGUCAAUCGAUGGGUUCCUCCCCGGCUCCAGCGAGAGUCUUCUUCCCUAGUGACAAAACUCCAUUGUUGCACCUAGGGUUUCAUCGUUUGUUCCUUUUCUCGUCUGUGCAGAGCUCCCUCUCCCAUCCCUCACCUCCCCUGGCGGCACCGCCCCAUCCCCGUUGUCCCCCCUGCGUAGCCCUUCCUCGCGGCGGCGGCCGCGCCCCGUGUGCAGGCGCGCGUGUCCCUUCCCCGGUCGUGGCCCUGGGGGCGCUCGGUCGCGCGGCCCAGCCUCCUCCCCAUGCACGCGCAAUCCCCUCCCCUUCCCCCUCUCCUUCCCCCUCCCCUCUCUCUUCCAUGGAUGAGAGUAAGAAGAUGGAGGGAGAAAGAAGAUGGCAGUUUGGUAACUUAGUCCCUGUUUUGUACGCAUGAAUUUAGUCUAGUUUAAAAUAGUGAUAACUUUUGCGUUUAAAACCGAUUCAAUCCGUUCAAGUUGCGUUAGAUUCGUAUUAAAAUUAUCUACAUGUUAGAUGUAUUUUUCCUACCGUUGCCCAUCUUAUUUAAUUUAUUUCAACGUUUGUUUGACCGAUAACUACUAGAACAUCGUUUCAAUUUAAAAUCUAAUUUAGGAAUUUGAUUUGCGUAUUUAUAAUUAGACAUCAACAUGGUUAACCUUAACUGAAAUAUUCUUUAUUAAUAAUUGUUAAUCAUGCUAUUUGUUUAUUAGUUUUCGCGGAUCGUAUUGGCCCGCACCCCGUACGCGUGCUGUGCGCGUGCCGAGGUGCUGUUUCGCGCGCGUCGUGACGUGUCAUUCGCGAGUGUCGCGCGUGCUGUUUGUACACGUUGUCGCGCGCCUUGCCUCGCACCGUUCGCGCGUUAUCCCUGCACGAGAUUAAAUCGUUCGCUUAUAAUCACUCAUGUCAGUAAUUAGUUAUUUAUUUAAACAUCCACAAUUAAAACAGUAAGUUAGUUAAAACUAAGUAGUUUUAAUUUAUAUUUCAUAAAUGUUAAUUAAUAUAAUCACGUCGAAACAAUGUUUUAACUAGUACUUGUUUAGCGUAAAUGCGAUAACUUCUCGACCGUAGCUCCGACUGCCGCGUUUCUUUUCAUCGCGUGACCAUAGUAGAGAGCUCUAUUUUUGCAUGUUUUAUUAUGUUUUUCUUUGAAUGACGUAAUGUUCUUAUGCACAUAUAUAUGUUUGUUUCCUUGUGCUGAUUCGUCUUUGCUUCGCGUUGCGAUUAGAAUGCGACCCAUUCCCGAGCUUCGAGGAAUCGAAGAUCAAGCGUUGGCGACCAAGUGAUCUAGCUCUUCGAGUUCUACGAGAUUGAAGACUCUGAGCAUCUGUCUGGUGAAGGCAAGUGUCCUAUGACCCAUUAUGUUCUAUUUACUUUAUAAUUCAUUGUCCCGUAUACCAUGAUCAACCUAAGGAUUGACUAGCUUUGUAUUUACCUUGUCCUUGAUUACCUUUUGGGUUAUUAUGGUUAGCUUCAUGCUAUUGCUUUACUUUAAUCAACGAACUUGAUUAUGAUGAUGAACUUGUGAUACUUUAGAGGACUCAUGCUGUUUCCUGAGUACCUCUCCAUAAGGACCUGUUCGUUGAGAGACCACCCGGGAAAACAGUGCAACCAUGAGGGUGGUAUGGGACGCCCUUAGCUGAUUAAUUAGAGGAACUUAAGGUGUAGUCGGCUUCGCCGUCGUGCCGUCAAUGGGGUCCGGGCAUAGUACUUGCUCUGCCGAGGCUGGGUGCCGAGGUUCUUUCGUGUUGCUUUUGUUAGUCACCCUUCCUAUGGGGAGAGGUACUGUGUUUAUCAAACUGGAGAAACCUAACGGGCGGCUAUGACCUUUGGGAAAUUUUUGUAAAGGCUACUUAGUGACACCCUGCUAGAUCACCUAGGUAGUGAUCACUGCAGAAUAGCGCUCCUCGGACAGAAAGGGAAUCACAACUUAUGGGUAAAGUGGGCAACCUCUACAGAGUGUAAAGAAACUUAUAUAUCAGUCGUGCUCACGGUUAUGAGCGGCCUGGGGAUUCUCUUUGAUUAGAGACACAGAUGAUCUAAGAUACAAUGGUUCUAUUGAUGGUUUUGGUUACGAUGAUGAUAAUGAUGUUCAUCGAUGAGGAAAUGAUUCGCGUGUUGGUUAUUUCUAAAACUUGGCUUCUACUAAUAAUAAAUACCUGAUGAACUAAAAGCAACUGCUUUGAUCCUAACCCCACAUAAAGCUAGACCACUUCAGUCAAAUGAGACAUUUGCUGAGUACGUUGAUGUGUACUCACCCUUGCUUUCACAAAACACCAGGUUGCCGUUGGUGCAAACUUUGCUAAGAUAAAGAAGAAGAAGGCGUCAAGGCGGAUCUCCAGGAUUCCAGGACUUCGGCGAGUUCGAGGAUUAGGCUAGAGACCUCCCCCAGUCUGCUGCCUGUGGUGGGUUUAUUUACGUUGGCUACGUUUCUAUUAUGCACUUUGAUUCAUAUUAUGUAGAUGACUCUAGUCUGUAGUAUUAUUACUUACUCUUUAUUGUUAUUCGAAGCAUUGUGCUAUGAUGAGUCAUUUAUGUAAUCACUGUGUACGUGAAUUUCUGAUCCUGUCACGUACAUGGUUCGCAUUCGGUUUACCUUCCAAAACUGGGUGUGAUACAUAGUCAGAGUCUAAGUAUCCAAUCAAGUCAAAAGGAUACCAGAGCCCAAAGUGAGGCAUAUGAACUAAAUAUCGAAGAAUUUACUUCAAGACCACAAGGUGACAUUCCUUGGGGUCAGAUUGAAAUCUAGCGCACAUUCAAAUGGAAAGCAUAAUAUCCAGUCUACUUGCACAUAAAUAAAGAAAGGAUUAUAUCAUAGACUGCUAUAACUUUUGAUCUACGGACUUACCUCCCGCGUUGAGGUCCAAAUGUUCGUUGGUUCCCAUCGACAUCUUGAUGGGCUUUGCGUCCUUCAUCCCAAACUUCUUAAGAAGAUCUUGCGUGUACUUUGUUUGGAAGAUAAAGAUGUCGUCUUUGAGCUAUUUCACUUGGAAUCCUAGGAAGUAGGUCAGCUCCCCCAUCAUAUACAUUCCAAAUUUCUGCUUCAUCACCCUGCUAAACUCCUCAUAAGUCUUUUGAUUAGUAGAACCAAAUAUUAUGUCAUCGACAUAUAUUUGGCAUACAAUUAAAUCAUCAUAACAAACCUUUAUAAAGAGAGCACGAUCGGCUUUCCCAACCUUGAAAGCAUUAGAAAUAAGAAAGACUUUAAGGCAUUCAUACCAUGCUCUUGGUGCUUGCUUAAGCCCACAGAGCACCUUAGAGAGCUUAUACACAUGGUCAGGAUACCUAUCAUCCUUGUACACCUCCUCCUUGAUUGGCCUAUUGAGGAAAGCGCGCUUCAUGUCCAUUUAAUAAAGCUUAAAGGAAUGGUGAGCAACAUAGGCUAAUAAAAUUCGAAUAGUGUCGGGGACCAUAAUUAGGGGUACCCUCAAGGCUCCUAAAUCUCAGCUGGUAACCCCCAUCAGCACAAAGCUGCAAAGGCCUGAUGGGUGCGAUUAAGUCAAGGAUCGGUCCAUUCAAGGGACGCGAUCGCGCCUCGCCCGAGCCCAGCCUCGGGCAAGGGCAGCCGACCCCAGAGGGUUUACGUCUUGCCCGAGGACCCCCUACGGCAACGAACGCACCUUCGGCUCGCCUGAGGCCCAGUCUUCACCAAGAAGCAACCUUGGCCAAAUCGCCACGCCAACCGACCAAAUCGCAGGGGCAUUUAAUGCAAAGGUGGCCUGACACCUUUAUCCUGACGCGUGUCCUCCAGUUGACAGAGCCGAAGUGACCGUAGUCACUUCGCCGCUCCACUGACCAGCCUGACAAGAGGACAGCGCCGCCUGCGCCGCUCUGACUGCUGUGCCACAUGACAGAGUGAGGCUGACAGCAGCCAAGCCCGGCCCCAGGCUCCAUAGGAAACUCCGCUUCGCCUGACCCUAGGGCUCAGACUCGGGCUCAGCCCCGGAAGACGAUGAACUCCGCUUCGCCCGACCCCAGGGCUCAGACUCGGGCUCAGCCCCGGAAGACGACGAACUCCGCUUCGCCCGACCCCAAGGCUCGGACUCGGGCUCAGCCCCGGAAGACGACGAACUCCGCUUCGCCCGACCCCAGGGCUCGGACUCGGGCUCAGCCCCGGAAGACGACGAACUCCGCUUCGCCCGACCCCAGGGCUCGGACUCGGGCUCGGCCCCGGAAGAUGACGAACUCCGCUUCGCCCGACCCCAGGGCUCGGACUCGGGCUCAGCCUCGGAAGACGACAAACUCCGCUUCGCCCGACCCCAGGGCUCGGACUCGGGCUCAGCCCCGGAAGACGACGAACUCCGCUUCGCCCGACCCCAGGGCUCGGACUCGGGCUCAGCCCCGGAAGACGACGAACUCCGCUUCGCCCGACCCCAGGGCUCGGACUCAGCCCUGGCCUCAGCCGACGGUCUCCGCCUCGCCCGACCCAGGGGCUCAGACUCGACCUCGGCCUCGGAAGACAGACUCGACCUCGACCUCGGAGGAGCCUCCACCUCGCCCAACCUAGGGCUCGGACCGACCACGUCAUAGGAGGCGCCAUCAUUACCCUACCCCAAGCUGACUCAAGCUACGGGGAACAAGACCGGCGUCCCAUCUGGCUCGCCCCGCCAAACAAGUAAUGAUGGCGCCCCGCACGCUCUAUGACGACGACGGCUCUCAGCCCCCUUACGGAAGCAAGAGGACGUCAGCAAGGACUCGACAGCCCCGACAGCUGUCCUUCCGCCAGGCUCCAGCGCUCCUCCGACGGCCACGACACCACACGAACCGGGUGCCAAAACCUCUCCGGCUGCCACGAUGGCAUGUACUUAGGGCGCUAGCUCUCCUCCGCUAGACACGUUAGCACACUGCUACACCCCCCCAUUGUACACCUGGAUCCUUUCCUUACGCCUAUAAAAGGAAGGUCCAGGGCCCUCUUACAGAGGGUUGGCCGCGCGGGGAAGGACGGGACGACGCUCGCGUGAGGCCGCUCGCUCCCUCCCGCGUGGACGCUUGUAACCCCCUACUGCAAGCGCACCCGACCUGGGCGCGGGACAAACACGAAGGCCGCGGGAUCUCACCUCUCACACCUGUCUCCCUCCGGCUUCUUCCCCCCUUCGCGCUCCAUCUCGCGCCGACCCAUCUGGGCUGGGGCACGCGGCGACAAUUUACUCGUCGGUCCAGGGACCCCCCGGGUUCGAAACGCCGACAGUUGGCGCGCCAGGUAGGGGCCUGUUGUGUGUUGACGAACAGCUUCCCGUCAAGCUCCAGAUGGGCAGUCUUCAGCAACCUUUCCAGCCCGGGACGGUACUCCGUUUCGGGAGUCUUGAGUUCAUGUCCCUCGACGGCAGCUACGACAUGAUACCCCUUCUCCCGCCGCGCGACAGCGACAAUGGCGGCCGACAGCCCGCCCGCCGGUGGCGGAAUCGACGACGUCUUCCCCUCGUGGUGGAAGAACAACAUUCGAGCUCGCCCCGUCCCCUCCCCCGCCGACGGAGGAGGAGGCGGGGCAACCAAGGCCAAGCAGGAGGUUGCACCUCGUCGGCUGUCGAGCGAGUCGACGGCGCCGGUGCCCCAACGGGGGGCACGUCGGGCAUCGACCUCGCGUCUGAGACGAAGACGAGCGCCGUCUCCCCGCAACACGCCAAUCCCAAGCAAACGGACGACGCCAGCACACUCGCGAAGGACUUGCUGGGCAUCACCCUCGUACCUGAGACGACGGUGCAGUCAGCCCCUGACGUGACUUCGUCACCGCCCGUCGACCAAGAGGUACCAACCGAUUCCCAUCUCACGCCUUUUGGAUUCAGCCUCGACCCACCAAGCGACUUUGCUUUGGUGGACGCUCUCGUAGAGGCGAGUCCAAACCCUCUAGGGUAUCGUAUGCGGUCACCCUGGGACCGGCUGAUGGCCGUCUCGACCUACGGGCCCUCGGGGUUCGAGGAAGAUGACGAGCCCGACUUCUGUUGGGAUUUCUCCGGACUUGGUAACCCCAGUGCCAUGCGGGACUUUAUGACCGCGUGCGACUACUGCCUUUCCGACUGUUCCGACGGUAGCCGCAGCCUCGGCGACGAGGACUGCGGCCCAAGUCGUGAAUGUUUCCACGUCGAUCUAGGGGGUCCCAACGAAGGCAACCAUCUUGGUAUGCCGGAGAACAGUGAUCUCCCUAGGCCUGUGCCUCGCGUUGACAUCCUUCGGGAGCUAGCUGUGGUCCCCGUCCCGGCGGGGGGUCAUGACCCACAGCUCGAGCAAAUCCGCGAGAUGCAGGCCAUGCUCGACGAGGGGGUAGGAACACUUGAGCCGAUCCGCCGGGACAUCGGGCAGGAAUGGGCGGGCCAACCUCCGGUCGGAGAAGUGCGUCAUCUACCCCAGGGUAUCCAGCACCGCAUCGCCGACGAUGUCAGGGUAAGGCCGCCACCGACUUCCAGUGGAGUCGGCCAGAACCUGGCUGCAGCGGCAAUACUUCUCCGCUCGAUGCCGGAGCCAUCAACCACCGAGGGGCGGCGAAUUCAGGGAGAGCUCAAGAAUCUCUUGGAGGAUGCCGCGGUCCGACGGGCCGAAAGCUCCGCCUCCCGAAGGCAGGGGUACCCCUCGGAACAUCGCGCCACGACUUCCCGAUUCAUGCGGGAAGCCUCGGUCCACACCGGGCGCACGCGCAACACAGCGCAUGCGGCCCCGGGUCGCCUCGGCAACGAGCACCAUCACCGCAACCGUUGGGCCCACCUCGACGAGAGGGUGCACCGAGGCUACCACCCCAGGCGUGGGGGACGCUACGACAGCGGGGAGGAUCGGAGUCCCUCGCCCGAGCCACCCGGUCCGCAGGCUUUCAGCCGCGCCAUACGACGGGCGCCGUUCCCGACUCGGUUCCGAACCCCGACUACUAUCACAAAGUACUCGGGGGAGACGAGACCGGAACUGUGGCUCGCGGACUACCGGCUGGCCUGCCAACUGGGUGGAACGGACGAUGACAACCUCAUCAUCCGCAACCUCCCCCUGUUCCUUUCCGACACCGCUCGCGCCUGGCUGGAACACCUGCCUCCGGGGCAGAUCUCCAACUGGGACGACCUGGUCCAAGCCUUCGCCGGCAAUUUCCAGGGCACGUACGUGCGCUCUGGAAACUCCUGGGAUCUUCGAAGCUGCCGACAGCAGCCGGGAGAGUCUCUCCGGGACUACAUCCGACGAUUCUCGAAGCAGCGCACCGAGCUGCCCAACAUCACCGAUUCGGAUGUCAUCGGCGCGUUCCUCGCCGGCACCACCUGUCGCGACCUGGUGAGCAAGCUAGGUCGCAAGACCCCCACCAGGGCGAGCGAGCUGAUGGACAUCGCCACCAAGUUCGCCUCUGGCCAGGAGGCGGUUGAGGCCAUCUUCCGGAAGGACAAGCAGCCCUAGAGCCGCCCACCGGAAGAUGUCCCCGAGGCGUCAACUCAGCGCAGCGCCAAGAAGAAAGGCAAGAAGAAGUCGCAAGCGAAACGCGAAGCCGCCGACGCGGACCUUGUCGCCACCGCCGAGUACAAGAACCCUCGGAAACCUCCCGGAGGUGCCAACCUCUUCGACAAGAUGCUCAAGGAGCCGUGCCCCUAUCAUCAGGGGCCCAUCAAGCACACCCUUGAGGAGUGCGCCAUGCUUCGGCGCCACUUUCACAAGGCCGGGCCACCCGCGGAGGGUGGCAGGGCUCGCGGCGAUGAUAAGAAGGAAGAUCACCAAGCAGGAGAGUUCCUCGAGGUCCGCGACUGCUUCAUGAUCUACGGUGGGCAAGUGGCGAACGCCUCGGCUCGGCACCGCAAGCAAGAGCGUCGAGAGGUCUGUUCGGUAAAGGUGGCGACACCAGUCUACCUAGACUGGUCCGACAAGCCCAUCACCUUCGACCAAGAUGACCACCCCGACCGCGUGCCGAGCCCGGGGAAAUACCCGCUCGUUGUCGACCCCGUCAUCGGCGACGUCAGGCUCACCAAGGUCCUCAUGGACGGAGGCAGCAGCCUCAACAUCAUCUACGCCGAGACCCUCGGGCUCCUGCGGGUCGAUCUGUCCUCCGUUCGGGCAGGCGCUGCGCCUUUCCACGGGAUCAUCCCCGGGAAGCGCGUCCAGCCCCUCAGACGACUCGAUCUACCCGUCUGCUUUGGGACACACUCCAACUUCCAAAGGGAGACCCUCACGUUCGAGGUGGUCGGGUUCCGAGGAACCUACCACGCAGUACUGGGGAGGCCGUGCUACGCUAAGUUCAUGGCCGUCCCCAACUACACCUACCUCAAGCUCAAGAUGCCGGGCCCCAACGGGGUCAUCACCGUCGGCCCCACAUACCGACACGCGUACGAAUGCGACGUGGAGUGCGUGGAGUACGCCGAGGCCCUCGCCGAAUCCGAGGCCGAGCCUCUCUAAGGAGGCGCCAGACGUGAAGCGCCACGCCGACAACUUCGAGCCAGCGGAGACGGUUAAAUCCGUCCCUCUCGACCCCAGCAACGACGCCUCCAAGCAAAUCCGGAUCGGCUUCGAGCUCGAUCCCAAAUAGGAAGCAGUGCUCGUCGACUUUCUCCGCGCGAACAUCGACGUUUUCGCGUGGAGUCCCUCGGACAUGCCCGACAUACCGAGGGAUGUCGCCGAGCAUUCGCUGGAUAUCUUAGCUGGAGCCCGACCCGUGAAGCAGCCUCUGCGCCGAUUCGACGAAGAAAAGCGCAGAGCCAUAGGCGAGGAGAUCCACAAGCUAAUGGCGGCAGGGUUCAUCAAAGAGGUAUUCCAUCCCGAAUGGCUUGCCAACCCUGUGCUUGUGAGAAAGAAAGGAGGGAAAUGGCGGAUGUGUGUAGACUACACUGGUCUAAACAAAGCAUGUCCGAAAGUUCCCUACCCUCUGCCUCGCAUCGAUCAAAUCGUGGAUUCCACUGCUGGGUGCGAAACCCUGUCUUUCCUUGAUGCCUACUCAGGGUAUCACCAAAUUAGGAUGAAAGAGUCCGACCAGCUCGCGACUUCUUUCAUCACACCUUUCGGCAUGUACUGCUAUGUUACCAUGCCGUUCGGUUUGAGGAAUGCGGGUGCGACAUACCAAAGGUGCAUGAACCACGUGUUCGGCGAACACAUUGGCCGAACGGUCGAGGCCUACGUUGAUGACAUCGUAGUCAAGACGAGGAAAGCCUCCGACCUCCUUUCUGACCUUGAAGCGACAUUCUGAUGUCUCAAGGCGAAAGGCGUGAAGCUCAAUCCCGAGAAGUGUGUCUUCGGGGUCCCCCGAGGCAUGCUCUUGGGGUUCAUCGUCUCCGAGCGGGGCAUCGAGGCCAACCCGGAUAAGAUCGCGGCCAUCACCAGCAUGGGGCCCAUCAAGGACUUGAAAGGCGUACAGAGAGUCAUGGGAUGCCUUGCGGCUCUGAGCCGCUUCAUCUCGCGCCUCGGCGAAAGAGGUCUACCUCUGUACCGCCUCUUAAGAAAGCCCGAGUGCUUCACUUGGACCCCUGAGGCCGAGGAAGCCCUUGGGAACCUGAAGGCGCUCCUCACGAACGCGCCCAUCUUGGUGCCCCCCGCUGCCGGAGAAGCCCUCUUGAUCUACGUCGCCGCGACCACUCAGGUGGUUAGCGCCGCGAUUGUGGUCGAGAGACGAGAAGAGGGGCAUGCAUUGCCCGUCCAAAGGCCAGUCUACUUCAUCAGCGAGGUACUGUCCGAGACCAAGAUCCGCUACCCACAAAUUCAGAAGCUGCUGUACGCGGUGAUCCUAACGCGGCGGAAGUUGCGACACUACUUCGAGUCUCAUCCAGUAACUGUGGUGUCAUCCUUCCCCCUGGGGGAGAUCAUCCAGUGCUGAGAGGCCUCGGGUAGAAUUGCAAAGUGGGCGGUGGAAAUCAUGGGCGAUACGAUCUCGUUCGCCUCUCGGAAGGCCAUCAAGUCCCAGGUCUUGGCGGACUUUGUGGCUGAAUGGGUCGACACCCAGCUCCCAACAGCUCUGAUCCAACCGGAACUCUGGACCAUGUUCUUCGACGGGUCGCUGAUGAAGACAGGAGCAGGCGCAGGCCUGCUCUUCAUCUCGCCCCUCGGGAAGCACCUACGCUACGUGCUACGCCUCCAUUUCUCGGCAUCCAACAAUGUGGCCGAGUACGAGGCUCUGGUCAACGGGUUGCGCAUCGCCAUCGAGCUAGGGGUCCGACGCCUCGACGCUCGCGGUGACUCGUAGCUCGUCAUCGACCAAGUCAUGAAGAACUCCCACUGCCGCGACCCGAAGAUCGAAGCAUACUGCGAUGAGGUUCGGCGCCUGGAAGACAAGUUCUACGGGCUCGAGCUCAACCACAUCGCCCGACGCUACAACGAUACUGCGGACGAGCUGGCUAAAAUAGCCUCGGGGCGAACAACGGUUCCCCCGGACGUCUUCUCCCGAGACCUGCAUCAACCCUCCGUCAAGACCGACGACACGCCCGAGCCCGAGAAGGCCUCGGCCCAGCCCGAGGCACCCUCGGCUCAGUCCGAGGCACCCUCGGCUCGGCCCGAGGCACACUCAGCUCGGCCUAAGGCACCCUCGGCUCGGCCCGAGGCACCCUCGGCUCGGCCUGAGGUACCCUGGGCCUCCAAGGGUGAGGCACUGCGCAUCGAGGGGGAGCGGAGCGGGGUCACGCCUAAUUGAAACUGGCAGACCCCGUACCUGCAAUAUCUUCACCGAGGAGAGCUACCCCUCGACCAGGCCGAAGCUCGGCGGUUGGCGUGGCGCGCCAAGUCAUUCGUCUUGCUGAGAGAUGGGAAGGAGCUCUACCACCGCAGCCCCUCGGGCAUCCUCCAGCGAUGCAUUUCCAUCGCCGAAGGCCAGGAGCUCCUACAAGAGAUACACUCGGGGGCUUGUGGCCAUCACGCAGCACCUCGAGCCCUUAUUGGAAACGCCUUCCGACAAGGUUUCUACUGGCCGACGGCGGUGGCCGACGCCACUAGAAUUGUCCGCACCUGCGAAGGGUGUCAGUUCUACGCAAGGCAGACCCACCUGCCUGCUCAGGCUCUGCAGACCAUACCCAUCACCUGGCCGUUUGCUGUGUGGGGUCUGGACCUAGUCGGCCCUUUGCAGAAGGCACCCGGGGGCUACACGCACCUGUUGGUCGCCAUCGACAAAUUCUCCAAGUGGAUCGAGGUCCGACCCCUAAACAACAUCAGGUCCGAACAGGCGGUGGCGUUCUUCACCAACAUCAUCCAUCGCUUCAGGGUCCCGAACUCCAUCAUCACCGACAACGGCACCCAGUUCACCGGCAGAAAGUUCCUGGACUUCUGCGAGGAUCACCACAUCCGGGUAGACUGGGCUGCCGUGGCUCACCCCAUGAUGAAUGGGCAAGUAGAGCGUGCCAACAACAUGAUUCUACAAGGACUCAAGCCUCGGAUCUACAACGACCUCAACAAGUUCGGCAAGCGGUGGAUGAAGGAACUCCCCUCAGUGGUCUGGAGUCUGAGGACGACGCCGAGCCGGGCCACGGGCUUCACACCGUUUUUUCUAGUCUAUGGGGUCGAGGCCGUCUUGCCCACAGACUUAGAAUACGGUUCCCCGAGGACGAGGGCCUACGCCGACCAAAGCAAUCAAGCUAAUUGAGAAGACUCACUUGACCAGCUGGAAGAGGCUCGAGACAUGGCCUUACUACACUCAGCGCGGUACCAGCAGUCCCUGCGACGCUACCACGCCCGAGGGGUUCGGUCCCGAGACCUCCAGGUGGGCGACCUGGUGCUUCGGCUGCGACAAGACGCCCGAGGGCGGCACAAGCUCAUGCCUCCUUGGGAAGGGCCGUUCGUCGUCGCCAAGGUUCUAAAGCCCGGAACGUACAAGCUGGCCAACAGUCAAGGCGAGGUCUACAGCAACGCUUGGAACAUCCAACAGCUACGUCGCUUCUACCCUUAAGAUGCUUUCAAGUUUUUCGUAUGCCUCGUUCCCACGCAAAGUUUAGUCAUCAAGGAAGGGUCAGCCUUGCCUCGGCAAAGCCCGACCCUCCCUCGGGGGCUAAAAGGGGGGAACCCUCUCUGCGUCAAAAUUUUCCUCGGAAAAAGAUCUUUUCUGCUAGAAUGUCUUUCGUGCUUUUCGACUACUUCGAAAGUGGAUCCUGAAAAUGACGGAGUACACGUAAGCAGCCAAGGCUGACCGAGCCGAGGGACUCCUACGCCUCCGGGAUACGGAUACCUCACUCAUCACCUUUUGCGAUAAGUAACUCGCGCUUGGAUAGGUGAUUCCGCGGACCGAACAAGUCUUCACGCUCGAAAGAUCCUCUGCCGAAACGAUUUUUCGGGCCUACUCGACUGCGUCGGUGACAGAACCCUAUGGACGAGUAAGAGUGCGCGUAAGCGGCAAGGCCGAUCGAGCCGAGGGAUUCCUACGCCUCCGGGAUACGGAUACCUCACUCAUCACCUUCCGUGAAAAGUAACUCUCGCUCGCACAAACAAUUAUGUUACCGACAAAUAAGUCCAGAUACUCGAAACAAGGGGAAAAGAAACACAGCUUUACAACACGACGAUGGUGUGUUUGGGCCUCGGCGGCCGCAGAAAACAUAUACACACUACAAGAUAAUCUGAUCCUGCAGGCUCGGAUCUUGACAGUUGAAGGGAGCAGCAGCACCCUCGGCGUCAACUACGCCUUCGACGAGGUCCGACCUAGCCUCGGACGGCGACGCGGUCGGAGGAUCUCCACUCUAAAGGACGACAUCAGCACCACGCCUGGGCCAUCGCCGCCAGGGUCUUCUCCAGGAAUCCGGCUCAAGCAGACGGCUCGGCCGGCCACCCCGAGGCCUCGGCCAGCUGUCCCCCGAAGACAUCAGCCCGGCCCGUGGUCUCGGCAACUCAACUCCGGCGUCGGUCCCGCCAGUGGACGACCCGGCCAGGCUCUGGCCGACCAAGUCUUCUUUUCGAGCCAACUCAGCAUCUGUCCGUGCGGACACCGCUACCUCCGGCUUCGGCUCAUCAGAGAGCGGCCGAGGGUUUCCUUUAACUAAGCAAGAGAAGCCUCGGACAGCAAGGCCGACUGAGCCGAGGGACUCCUACGCCUCCGGGAUACGGAUACCUCACUCGUCACCUUUGCACGAGGCAACUCACACUUGGUGAAGCGGUUCAGAUAGCCGACAGGCGAGUCUUAGUGCUCGAAAUGAGGAAAAAACACGGCUCCGUGCCGAAAAUACAUACAUGUUCAGGCCCCGACAGCCACAAUGAACAAGACACCGGCACUCAAGGUGCCAUCACAAACGGAACUCCGGUUCCGUCCCCGCGGGUAUGAACAACCUCCACAUAGAGGAGCCUGCGGGGCGACAAGUUCCGGGCGACUCGCCAGCGACCUCUGCAGCAGCAACUAUGGUCCCAGGACGGACGCGGCCACCGGAAGGCUCUCGUUCGUGUCCCCGCUCAAGGGACACGAACCAGACAUCAAAGCCGAAGAGCCGGAGGCUGGCCCGUAGGCGGCACUGACGGCCUCGACGGUGGGGAAGCUUCCCCCGGCUGCCACCACGUCAGCACUGAUGGCGGCGUCCGCCUCUCCACCAACGCCGCACCGGCGAACGCGGGCCGCUCCAAGGCGCACCGGCAGGUCCUCGCUCCCGUCCUCACCACGAAAGCGAGGAAGAGGACAGAAUGUUGCAUCCUAGCUGGGCAGCAACAGUUCGCCUUCCCCGGCAUGGCUGGAGGAUGCCUCCUCCGCAGAGCUGGAGGAUGGUUUCCACCACCAGAAGCUAGAAGAGGAGGUGGCCAGCCGACCCGUGCGGGAGGUAGAGCCCCGGCUCGCCUCGCUCUCCGCCCCAGCAAGGAUGAUAAAUAUCCUUGAAGCUGAGGGAGGGGCGGGGGCCGCAGCCCGGCUUGCUUCUCCCCAUCCAGGGGCUGGUGGUCACCGCCUUGGGUGACCACCGGCGAGGGGAUGCGGUCGGGCCACGUGAUGAAAAUCCUUGAAGCCGAACGAUGGCUGAAAGGUACCAACUUCCACGAAGUUGCGUUCCUCCAACGACAAGGCGGAAGGAUUGCGGGUGUUCCCCAUCCGGGGGCUCGGAAGGUGGAAAGACACGAUGCAUAAGGGAGCGCGAAGACAUGGUCGCCUUUCAAGGGGGUCACCCUCCUUUUAAAGGCGACUCUCCCUACUUGCGUCCCCGGCCGUCGCGGGCUGAGUCUUCUCCAACACGCUCCAAGGUCCUCCCCCUACGGCGCGGGGGCUGGGUCCCACGCGUCAUGCAAGCUGGCCCAGAGCAGAAGAAGCCAAACCGCCGCGCGCGGUGCAUUCAACUGCCCAGCGGUUACGAGCAUUCCUCCACUAUUGCCCAGACCAGCGGGUGAAAGGGCGGACAUCCAUGCAGGCGGCAUGCAACCGCGCUAAGUGGGCGCACCCCUCCGACUUCCAACGCACCCAGCAUGGAGGCCCAGGCCCACACGUCAUGCAACCGGCGCGCCGGUUGCUACGUGCGAGCAACUGCACCGCCACUCGCACCACUACCGCGCCUCCUCGACUGCGGAACCAGUACCGCGACUCGAGGCAACCCUGCGUAUGACCCAACAGUGCCAGCCAGGCGCAUCGAUCACGGGCCAGUCAGCCGCGAGAGAAGGUGCGAUGAUCGAUGCGGCCAAAAAUGGGCCGGCAGUAAUGGCAGUGGCAGGCGGGCAGAAGCAGCGGUCACGUCGUCAGCCAAGCUCACGUCACCUCGUGGGAUAGCGAGAGAACCCUCUCUCACGGCGUGAAGACGACGCGCCCGUGUUCCGUUCCUCGAACGGCCCGCGCACGCGCAAUGGCUGCCCCACGAACCACUCGCCCCGUAGCAUUAACUCCGCGGCGGGACAUGCAGCACCUUUGGCAGGAGAAGCGAGCGACGCUUCACCUUCGCCAUAAUGACCGCGUCAAAAAGGUGCGCCACAUCAUCUCAAUUUCGUAUUCUUUCCUUUUUCCUCUUUCUCUCUCUUACAACAGGGACCGGGAAAGGGGGAUACCCCGAAAAGGGAUCCUUCUCCGCGAAGGAAACGGGCCCCGAGCCUCCCUACUAAUCAGAGGUUCAAAGGCUGGCCCCUCGGAGGGGUUCAACAGCCGCCUCAGAGCGCUUGGGCUCCACGCCCACUACUGGUCAGAGGUUCGAAGGCCGGCCCCUCGGAAGGGUUCAACGGCCGCCUCAGGCCACUCGGGCUCCGCGCCCACUACUGAUCAGGGGUUUGUAGGCUGGCCCUCGAAGGGCUCACAGCCGCCUCAGACAUAGAGCGAGGGAUGAUCCUGGGUACGUUCGAUACAUAACCAAGGCUCGGGCUACGCUCCCGAGGUACCCUAGGACAUUUCCGAGACCAGCGGGAACGAUCUUGUUACGGAAUCCCAUCAGAGGGAGGCAUCGAGCCCUCGGACCCUGUCGAAAGGGGACCGGGUCCGGCAGAUCACCCGCAGGUACUUUUGGAGCGCGCCUCCGGGCCUCUAGCCGACCCCUAACAAAUGGGGCACGGGCGUCCACUCGGAUUACCCGUCAGCAGCUCACUGGAGACACCAUGUUCGGCGCCCUCCAAGGGCAACAUGGCGCUUUCCCCCUCCUCCUUGCGGAAAGGCGAUGCAGGGGCGUAUGUAAAAAAGUCGAGUCUGUCCUUGACCAUCCUCUCGCCCUGUGCGGAGGCUCGGGGGCUGCUCUCGCAAACCCGGCUCCGGCCAAACCGUUGACAGCGUCAACAUACCAACCCGAGAACUUGGGACCCGACCGUGCACCCGGGCUACGGCCAGCUCGCAUGAGGGAACAACCAGACCAGCCAAAGUGUUGCGAAACGCACUAAGACCUCGAAGGAGUCAAACCACUCCUCCGAGGCCUCGGGGGCUACACCCGGCGGGUGCGCUCGCGCGCACCCACCGUAACAAAACGCAACCAAGAAAGGCUGGUCCCCUUGCAAAAAAGUGCGACAAAAGCCUCCAAGCGAGUAUUAACACUCCCUUCGAGGCUCGGAGGCUACUGUCGGGGACCAUAAUUAGGGGUACCCUCAAGGCUCCUAAAUCUCAGCUGGUAACCCCCAUCAGCACAAAGCUGCAAAGGCCUGAUGGGUGCGAUUAAGUCAAGGAUCGGUCCAUUCAAGGGACGCGAUCGCGCCUCGCCCGAGCCCAGCCUCGGGCAAGGGCAGCCGACCCCGGAGGGUUUACGUCUCGCCCGAGGACCCCCUACGGCAACGAACGCACCUUCGGCUCGCCCGAGGCCCAGUCUUCACCAAGAAGCAACCUUGGCCAAAUCGCAACGCCAACCGACCAAAUCGCAGGGGCAUUUAAUGCAAAGGUGGCCUGACACCUUUAUCCUGACGCGCGUCCUCCAGUUGAUAGAGCCAAAGUGACCGUAGUCACUUCGCCGCUCCACUGACCAGCCUGACAAGAGGACAGCGCCGCCUGCGCCGCUCCGACUGCUGUGCCACACGACAGAGUGAGGCUGACAGAAGCCAAGCCCGGCCCCAGGCGCCAUAGGAAACUCCGCUUCGCCCGACCAUAGGGCUCGGACUCGGGCUCAGCCCCGGAAGACGACGAACUCCGCUUCGCCCGACCCCAGGGCUUGGACUCUGGCUCAGCCCCGGAAGACGACGAACUCAGCUUCGCCCGACCCCAGGGCUCGGACUCGGGCUCAGCCCCGAAAGACGACGAACUCCGCUUCGCUCGACCCCAGGGCUCAGACUCGGGCUCAGCCCCGGAAGACGACGAACUCCGCUUCGCCCGACCCCAGGGCUCGGAAUCGGGCUCAGCCCCGGAAGACGACGAACUCCGCUUCGCCCGACCCCAGGGCUCGGACUCGGGCUCAGCCCCGAAAGACGACGAACUCUGCUUCGCCCGACCCCAGGGCUCGGACUCGGGCUCAGCCCCGGAAGACGACGAACUUUGCUUCGCCCGACCCCAGGGCUCGGACUCGGGCUCAGCCCCGGAAGACGACGAACUCCGCUUCGCCCGACCCCAGGGCUCAGACUCAGCCCUGGCCUCAGCCGACGGUCUCCGCCUCGCCCGACCUAGUGGCUCGGACUCGACCUCGGCCUCGGAAGACAGACUCGACCUCGACCUCGGAGGAGCCUCCACCUCGCCCAACCUAGGGCUCGGACCGACCACGUCACAGGAGGCGCCAUCAUUACCCUACCCCAAGCUGACUCAGGCUACGGGGAACAAGACCGGCGUCCCAUCUGGCUCGCCCCGCCAAACAAGUAAUGAUGGUGCCCCGCACGCUCUAUGACGACGACGGCUCUCAGCCCCCUUACGGAAGCAAGAGGACGUCAGCAAGGACUCGACAGCCCCGACAGCUGUCCUUCCACCAGGCUCUAGCGCUCCUCCUACGGCCACGACACCACACGAAUCGGGUGCCAAAACCUCUCCGGCUGCCACGAUGGCAUGUACUUAGGGCGCUAGCUCUCCUCCGCUAGACACGUUAGCACACUGCUACACCCCCCAUUGUACACCUGGAUCCUUUCCUUACGCAUAUAAAAGGAAGGUCCAGGGCCCUCUUACAGAGGGUUGGCCGCGCGGGGAAGGACAGGACGGCGCUCGCGUGAGGCCGCUCGCUCCCUCCCGCGUGGACGCUUGUAACCCCCUACUGCAAGCGCACCCGACAUGGGCGCGGGACAAACACGAAGGCCGCGGGAUCUCACCUCUCACGCCUGUCUCCCUCCGGCUUCUUCCCCCCUUCGCGCUCCGUCUCGCGCCGACCCAUCUGGGCUGGGGCACGCGGCGACAAUUUACUCGUCGGUCCAGGGACCCCCCGGGUUCGAAACGCCGACAAAUAGACUCAAGCCUAGCUACAUGAGCAAAAGUCUCUUCAAAAUCCAAACAAACGACUUGGGGAUAACCAUUUGACAUAAGUCUCGCCUUGUUUUUUGUCACCACUCCGUACUCAUCUUGCCUGUUACGGAACACCCACUUGGAUCCUACAACAUUUUGCUUUAGACGUGGUACCAGGCUCCAAACUUCAUUUCUCUUGAAGUUGUCAAGCUCUUCCUGCAUGGCCAUCACUCAAUCCGGAUCCUGUAGUGCUUCUUCUACCCUGAAAGGCUCAAUAGAAGAGACAAAGGAAUAUUGCUUACAAAGAUUAGAUAUACAAGAUCGAGUCGUUACUCCCUUGCUGAUAUCACCUAGGAUUUGGUCCACCGUAUGAUCCCUUUGGAUGGUGGCGCAGAUUGGUGCUUGAGGUUCCUAUGAUACUUCUUCCUCCUUGCCUUCUUGUUCAUGCGCCCCACUUGGAACUUGGAAGCGUGAGAGCAUGCCAGCGGCUGGGCUCAGCCGUUGUGGAUAGUUAGCGCGGUGGUUGUGACCAACCAAACUGUCUAGCUCCCCCAUGACGUAUGUGUCGAUGCAUGUGACCUCACUCAGAGAUUCACACCUGGUGAACCACUCACACGGAACAACUUCUCGCUCCUAAACCACUGAAAACUGAUGUUUUUUCUUCACUACUAAGCAAAAAAACGAAUUUUUGUAUGGUUUCAAAUGGAUUUCGAUUGAAAAUAUAAAAAAUACAAAAGUCAAAUUUUGGUCAACAAAAUGAAAUUCGGUUAACCCAAAACAAAAUUGUGAACCCUCACCACUCAUCCGCUCCCGAAUCCUCGGCUUCACAUCUGCCCAUGGCCGCCGGGGGCGUCAAGCACCCAACUCCCACCUGUUGCUAGAGCUCCCUCACAUCCAUGGAAGCACACACCCAAAGAAGGCGAGAGACAUGGCACCACCUACUGCUUCCCUAUCCCCUGCCUGCUGUGUUCACUAACCCACCUCCGACCCCCGUUGCGGGUCCCCCUCCCCCGUCAGAAGGUUCCCCAGAUUUAUAGCCCAUAGUAGCGGCGGCGACGGGGCAUGCGCUCGGAGCCAAACCAGGUAACCUCCUUGACAUGGUGUGGGAGUAGAAGGUUAGUCCGAUUCGGGCAUGGGAUUUACUCUGGCUCUCGAUGGUGCUGUCACACAGCUUACAGCGAGAGCAAGGCCAUCCUUGACGCCGUCUUCCUUGAGAAGGCCUCCGCGUAGGCGUUCACGGAGCGAGUCGAGUCGGUAAUGGGCAAGUUAUUCAACGUCGUCAGGCAGUGGCAGACUGAGCAGCGGAAGCAGGUCCAAGAGUUCUUGGUACUGCACGACACACACCUGGAUCUAGAUGAGCAUUCAUAAUAUUUCGUUUUCCAUGUCAAUUCACUAAUAAACUCUUUAAUAAUUGAUGUCUCGAUGAUGUGUUAUCAUCCAUGUUUAACUUAAAUGUGUUCUAGUUCUGAAAUACCAAAGUUUAUAAAACAAAAGAUAUGCAACAAGGAAUCAACAUUGAACUGUAGGUGUAUGUGUGAUAGUCUACCAAGUGUAUAAGUAUAUAUGUUCCCUUCGUUAGGUGUAGCUAAACACAUGGUGAAAAUUUGAAGAAGGGAAAUGGUCCUAACAUUCAUUUUUGGAAGAACUAUAUGGUAUAGACUACAUAGUUCAGGUGCUCAAGGUAGAUAAUGGCUGUUUGGUUUGGAGGUAUAACAUAAAUAAAAUGUUCCAUGUUAUUAUUGAUAAACACAUUACAUACAAUAAAGAAUACCAUUGCAGUUUUUUAUUUCAUUUUUAUUUUCUAUAACCAUGGUUGUACCUCACAUGCUACUGACACUUAUACAUAUAUAUAGUUUGUAUAUUUGGAGCCCUGGGCUUCCAAUAACUAGAGGAAGCCCUGGCCCAACGGUGUCAUCCGGUUCAGCCGCACCAGGUGUAGAUGGCUAUAAAAAGACCUCAGGCCACCAGGGAUUAGGUUUUAGCGGGGUGGCGGUUCCCUCGGGCGAGCGAGCGGUGGCGGCGGUUUCCUCGAGCGUGCGAGUGACGACGAUCCCGUGGGCUAGCGGUUGUGGCGCGCAUAGGCAGGCGACCGGCGGUGACGCUCCUAUGGCGGACGAGCAAGCAUCGACGGCGUUCCCGAACCGGACGGGUGGCAGCGGCGGUUUCCUCGGGCGUGCGAGCAGUGGCGAUCCCGAGAGCUAGCGCCUAUGGCGCGUCGAGGUGGGUGGCUGACAGCGACGCUCCUAUGGCGGGCGGGCAAGCACCGACGGUGCUCCCGAACCGGACGAGCGGCGGCGGCGCACCCUAGGCCCGGUGGUGACGGUGGUUGUGUGAGGCGCGAUAGGUUUCAGCAGCAGCAGCGGCAGAUCUUGGAGGAGCACACACGACGGCGAAUCCCGGAGGCACGCGCCGUGGAGUGGCGUCCGCUGGCGUCCCCCUCCCGCGACGACGUCAACCUUCCCUACGCGCGAGCGACAACGACAGACUUCCCUAGGCGGCGAGCGGUGGUGGAUCGAUGACCCUGUUUUUAUGCUAUUUUGUAUACAUAUUUAUGCCAACUUCAAUAGGUUUUUAUGAUAUUUCUAUUCAUAUUUUAUGUAAACGUUUGUUGUUUUUUGCGUAGUGUACCGGAAUGCAUAAAUACCUUUGACAUGUAGCAUAAUUAGUAUCAGUAUAUAUCAUAAACUGGUUCUAACGAGCCUAACUGCAUGGCUGUUGGAGAGACCCUAUAUUUAUGGCCAUGCAUGUCAAUUCAUUUUCUUGCAACUCACAUUUUUGUCAUUCUAAAUUUGUGCGCAUGCAAUAGUAAACAAAUUUUGUAUACAAUGUACCGCAUUGCAUAAAUAUAUUCGAUGUGUAGAAUAAUUAGUCUCAGCGGAUAUCAUAAACUGGUUCUAACGAGCCUAAAUGCAUGACUGUUGGAGAGAUCCUAUAUUUACGGAGGAAAUUAAGCAUUUAAAUCAGAUUUUUUGUCUCCAUGCAUGCCAAUAUAUUUCCUUUGAACACACAUUCUUGCCAUCCUAAAUUUAUGCGCAUGCAGCAGAAAACAAAUUUUUUCGCGCUGUAUCGCAGUGAAUAAAUAUCUAUACCGUGUAACUUAAUUAGUGUCAGUAUAUAUCAUAAACCGGUUCCAACGAUAAUACCUGCAUGGUUGUUGUCAAGAUGCUACUUUUAUGGAUGAAAUAAAGUAUUUAAAUCAGAUUUUUUGUUUCCAUGUAUGCCAAUCUUUUUCCUUUCAACCCGCAUUCUUAUCAUCCUAAAUUUUAUGCGCAUGCAGCAGGAAACAUAUUUUUAUGUGGUAUACCACACUGCAUAAAUAUCUACACAGUGUAGCAUAAUUAGUAUCAGUCUACAUUAUAAACUGGUACCAACAAGCCUACUGUAUUGAUGUUGUAGAGAUCCUAUUUUAUGGACAAAAUAAAGCAUUAAAAUAAGAUUUUUUGUUAACAUGCAUGUCAAUCCAUUUUCCUCUCAACACACAUUAUUGCCAUUCUAAAUUUGUGCACAUGUACCAGGAAACUGAUUUUUUACGCAGUGUACCGUAUUGCAUAAAUAACUGCAUUGUGUAGCAUAGUUAGUAGCAGUAUAUUUCAUAAAAUGUUUCCAAUGGGUCUAGCUGCAUGGUUGUUAUUGAGAUCCUAUAUUUAUGAAAGGAAUAAAGCAUUCAAAUCAGUUUUUUGUUUCCAUACAUGCAACAGUUUACGCAUACACUUCCUAAUUUCUCGCGCAUGCAAUAGGAAACAAACUGCGCGCAUGCAAGGAAUGGACGUAUGCGGGAGUUGGGUUGGCGGGCACGCUACGGUGGUGCAUGACUGGCUGGUUGGGGCUUCCUGUAUGCUAUGGAAGGCCAGGGCUCCCAAUAGCCUUACCCUAUAUAUAUGAUAUAUGAUACAUAUAGGAGGAAGUAUUUCAACGAGCCCAAAAGGCUAAGGAGAGACCUGCAACUGAAGCUAGUGAUGAUAAGGGGACAAGGUCUGUAAGGGAAUCUUCAGCAACUACUUUGAUGACUACACCAAUGUCAUCUCCCCCUACUAUUCUCACAUGGAAAUAAUAGUUCUAGCAUUCUUGGUUGUAAUAAAGAGUUGUUGCUGAAGUAAAUGUAGUUCUUUCUGUAGCCAAAAAAACUUUAGUUGGAUUUCACAUGAUAUGUGUUGAUGAAAAUAUGUUUUCAUAUGAAUGACAUCAUGAGGAAGAACUUUUGCAUAUAGAGUGUUUGGGUAUAUGUAAUAUGUUGUAUGCCAAAUGCAACUUCAAAAACCUUGGUAACAAUAUAGAAUUAGUGUCUUGAUUUAUGCUAUUCACUAUUAUUUAUAACUUAGAAUGGAGACUUCAUUGCAGAAGCUUCAGAGAAGAUUUCUGAAAGAAUGGUUUAAUCUACAAAAUAAUGAAUUACUGUAUUUUUUGUAUCAAAUGCCAUAUGCAGAGGUAUUGUUUCAUCGAGGACUUCCAUUCUUCUAGGGACAAUAUGUAUGUGUACUGGAUUGUGCAAGCAAUUACUGAUUACUUUGAUAUGUGGAUUCAUGCAUACACUCUACAUCAUUCAUGGUUUUAUCAUAUUGUGUAACAACCUGAAUUUAGGGGUAUAAAAUUAAUUCUCUAAUAUCUGCCAAAUUCAGGUGUUACCCUCUCUUUUCCUUACUCUUCUUCUCUUUUUUAUAAAUAAUGGAGAAUUAUUUUGUUUAUACUAGCGUAAGCCUAGUGGAAUGGGCCCUAGAGGUGCUGUGUUUAUUGCAUUCAUGCCGUUGCAUGGUGUUUCUAAGUGCAAAAUAUGUUUGAAACAUAUUAAUAUGCCUUUUAGAAGCCUUCAGUAAUUUUUCAUAUUUUUCGGAACAUUUUCUAUUUCCCGGAAACCAAAAUCUAUUUAUUUGAGGUACUUAAAAAUGUUUUUAGAAACUAUAACAUGUUGUUUUGAGUUCACUAGGUACCAAAACAUUUGUAGAAUUUUUUCUGAAAUUUUUGGAAGCAUCUACAAUAUUUUGAGCGCAAAAUAUGGAUUUAUAGUCUUUUCUGAAUUUAAUAAAUAGUAAAAUCUGAAUUUGACCCAAAUUUUCAUCUUGUUCGAACCCUAGCUAUAUAUAUGACCGGCUUUUCCUCGCCGAGCACGUUCCGAAUGACAAACAGUUUUCCCAUAUUCAUUCCCCAUCUCCCGGAAUUGCUCACUGAAGUUCGGAGCAGUUCCAACUCCGACGACAAAUUCGAUGAUCAAUUACUUCCAAUCCGCGCUUCGUCGGCGGAAUCCAAGGGUACUGCUAUGUUCGUCUCAUCGAGGGCUUCGUCUCGGUGUGUCUGGUUCGUCGAUCAGACCCAUGAAUCUUCGUCAAUCAACGUUUUCCUCCUCAGCUCGAGCGAGUGUUCCUUUUCGGGUGAGCCUUCUCCAUUGUUUUCAACAUUUGUUCUUCGUUUUCUUCGAGUCAAUAUCCAUCCCACCCCUCCCGGCCGCCCUCCACCCCGCACCCCUCCCCUGGUCGCCCCUACUCCGCGUCCUCCCUCUCUUCCUUUCUGUAAAGCCCAAAUUUUGUAUCAGAAUAAUAAUAAUAAUUAUUAUAUAAAUAAAUAAAUAUAAUUGUAGUGACUUGGGAUUAUGGAACCUUUGGAGAUCAUUUGAUUUUGUUUUAUUUGUGCAUAUUCAGUUAAUGUUAUUAUAUUGGUUAAGCAAUAAAUAAAUAAAUAUAAAAAAUGCAUAUCGUGCUAGAAUUCUUGUAUGUUUGCGUUUGUACUCAAAUUUUCGAGACAAUUUGAAAAGUAGAAUUUGUAACACCUAAAAUACCUAUUUUGGAAUUUGAAAGAGGUUCUCCAAAAGAUGUGAAUUAAAAUGUCUUUGAUAAAGAUCUUCAUAUCCAUAAAAAUACUUUCUUGGAACACAUAAAUGAUAAUAUUAAACUCUUCAUAUAUAUAUACAUAUGUUUGAAUACUGAGACUGGAAUUCUAAUAAAAUAAUAAAAUAAAAUAUAUAUAUAUAUAUUUGUACAUAGAUUAUGUUUGUUUGGAAUACAAUCAUUCCUAUUAGGGCUUGUUUGUUUCCCUUCAUUUUGAGGAAUUGGAAUUUAACUAAUACAAUAGGUUAUUUUUUAGUGUGACAUUCCACAACUUUCCAAAGUAUAUAUAUAUAAGCCUAUCUCAAAUUCAUGGGGUGAGAGAUGAAAAUUUAUUCUAUAGAUUUACAUGCUACUUUUCUAUUGUACAAUUUAUAGCACACUCUUCUACUUGUUUCUGUAUAACAUAAAUGUAGUGUAUAACUAUCAAUCUGAUAUGAUUUAGGAUAAUAUACAAAUACAUUACAGACAUAUAUAUAUAUAUUAACUCAAUUAGUUUUGUCUAAAUUAUAAUUAUUAGAAUAGAAUUCAAUUCCAAUGAAACAAAUGGGGCCUUAUUGAAUUAUAUAUUUUUAUGCCUCUAUGCUUAAAGAGAUAAAAUAGAUAAGUAAAAUAUAAUGGUUGCAUUCAUUCUAGGGUUUUGCUUGUGUGCAUUCAACCAGGAAAUUUGAACCCCAAAUCAAAUUGAGUUUGGAACAAAUCUGGAAUUUGUGAUUAGUUUUGGAAUAGAAAUUCAAAUAGGAAAAGAAAAAGAAAAAGAAACCCUGGCCCACUCGCCAUCUCUUUCCCCUUCAUGAUGGACGUGGAAUCACUAGUAAAUCGAGCGGAAUCCGGAAAUGACCUGGGGGAAAUCGGCCAGGGAUUAGUGCUAUUUUCGCGGGGUUGUUGGGAUUCGGCUUUGCCUUGUGGCUAUAUGACUCGGGCCUCUCCCCGUUGAACAACCAGAAGACCACUUGCGCCGGGAUCCAUGGCGGCAAACAGAGAUAAGAGAGAGAGUAGGCCGAGGGGGAAGGGGUAAUGAAGGUGCUCGGUGUGACCCGCUGGUGUCUCCAUCGACGAUCUGCUCUUGGGCAACCAAUGCUGGCAGUAGCCGACCCGGUUGUGCGCGCUGAUGGAGGAGGAGCUGGUCGCCACUCGACAGGCGCGGGGCAUCGUACUCAUGGUGGCGGAGAACUUCGUCUGCCGCGUGGUGGUCGUCGUGCUCGGCUGCCACCUCACCGACAAGUACUCUUGGGGGGCCGGGUCACUCAGGAUGGCUCGUGAACGCAGCUCUGCCGCUGUGGGCGCGCUGGCGUGCUCGUCGUCAAGGGCUGCGCGGGCACUGCUAUAUCCACAGCCAGAGGAAGAAGACCAUCUCGCAACCGUCCGAUCCGGAUUGCGGAUGGGAUUGGAUCCGGAGUUAACCCAAUGUGAACCAUCGAUCUCGUGAUCAACGGGCAGUGCAGGAUGGGGAGUCCAGAUCUAAUCAGAUCUGUUGAUAGUUGAUCUUUCGACCCAGAUUUAUGGAUACCCUUUCGUCGUGGCGUGUUUGCAAAAGAACCCUUGACUUUAGUCUGAACCAACCCACAGUCCACUCAGAUAGACAAAACCUUACAUGUAAGUCCUAUUUUUAACUAAAUAGCCCUUGCGUCCCUAGAAAAUUAUAACCGCGUCCAGGGACAUUAGUAAUUCAUGAAACAAAUCAAGGAAAUGAUUUUUAAGUAUAGAAUAAACCCGAAAGCCUUAGAAAAUUCAUAUAUCUUGCGUUUAAACCCCGAAUUAAUCCGUUCAAGUUGCGUCGGUUUUAUAAUAAAAUUGCCUACGCAGUAAUAACAAUAUUUGUGUCAUAUCACAGACUUUCAUAAUGAGAUAUUCAUUUAACCUAUGUUCUAACCUUUCUAGAUCAAAGUUAAUCUGUUGAUAAUUAUAACCUGUCUAAAAUAUGUUCUCUAAUUAAGACAUAACUUGGGUUAGGGAUGAAUUGAGGAGUUUAUUUAUAGUAUCUUUCCCACAUGCUUUACAUAGAAUAUAACCUUCAUAACUGUUCACAUAGAUAUUUCGAAAACCAUAUCUCUUCAACCAUAACCCAGAAUUUAGCAAUCUCGAACCCAUGAUCUCGUUACGAUGCGUAGAUUAUUAUUAUGCAGUUUGUUCUUAUGUUUGGUGUAAUAUUAAUUUUGCCUAUACCAUGUUUGUUUGUAUUGCUACGACUAGCGCGAAGUCACGAGUUACUUGAAGAGCAAGUUGGUACCUGGAAUCUCAAGUCCCAGGCAAGUUGUGCCCUUGAUCAAUUCUUUUUACCCAGUCAUGUUCUUAUUAAUCAUAAUGAUCUGCAUAGGUUAAUUUUGAUGGGACCCAAUAAGUUAACCUAGUUCGACUAUCUUUAUACCUUGUUUACCACUGCAUUUUUGGGUAGUGCAUGCUAUUGCUUUAUGUGGGUUUUGGUAUGGAGAUAUACAUUAUUCAUGAUCAUACUUUAUUAUCAGUUUGUCAUUUACUGUUCAUGAUAAGAUCAUUAUGUUAAUUGGAACAUGGAGAACCACUCGGGAAAACAGUGCUACCACAAGGGUGGUAUGGGACGCCCUUGGCUGACUAAUUAGGAAAGCUAGUGGAGGACUACCUUACCCGAAAGGGGCAAGGGCAGUAGGGGAGUGGUUAGUGUGGGUAGGCCCUUGGGUUGAUUUUGCUGUGAUGGCGGUCAGGCGAGUGGUCCCUGCAUUGGAGCUUCCUAGAAACUGUAGCGGGUUUUCUGAAGCUAGUGGAACUUUGUAAAGGCCUCGUAGUGUUACCCUGCCUCGCCUCCUCAGUAGAGGUGUAUGGGAAGUCAAGAUCCCUUGGUAGAUGGGUAACAUGACAUGUGGGUAAAGAUGCGCAACCUCCACAGAGUGUAAAACUGGUAUACUAGCCGUGCUCAUGGUCAUGAGCAGCUCGGACACUCACAUGAUUAAUUUAUGGAACUAAAUUCAAUUUGUCAUGGGAUUAUUUUUUUAUUUACUAUUACUAUGGUUUGGUAUUCACUUACAUUUAGUAACUACUAAUAAAACUUUGACCAACUUUAAAAGCAAUGCUCAGCUCUAACCAUCCUCUUUGGUAAGCCUUACACUUCACAUGAGCUCCCACCUUUGGCGAGUUCAUGCACAUUAUUCCCCACAACUUGUUGAGCGAUGAACGUAAUGAGCUCACUCUUGCUAUCUCACCCCCACAGGUCAAGAACAGGUACCGCAGGAUGAGGCGCAUGGAGGAUGCUGUGAUGAGUUCGCGAGAGGUCUAGGUCAUCGUCUUCCAGUCAACUUUGGGUUGCUAGAUCGUUGUCUCCUUUCGAUGUAUUUAUUUAUUUAUUUUGUACAGAACUCCUAUUAUAUAAGUAAAGAUGUGACAUUCGUUUCUGUACCACGAUUCAUCAUAUGUGUGAGACUUGGUCCCAGCACACCUGGUAAAAUGUUCGCGCCUGGGUCUUGGUGCCCCCGAAACCCGGGUGUGACAGAAGUGGUAUCAGAGGGAUGUUGACUAUAGGACAAAACUUAGAUAGAACUGGAUAACCCUUACCUACUUACCUUUGCUACUCUGAUUCUUUCUAAACUUUCCUUAAUCUUUUCUCAUCCACUGCUGCUUUACUCUGAUUAUUCUUACCUUUUCACUCUAAAGACAAAAGUGGAUUUCACACUUUGAAAUCCUGUGCCUAAAGUGACCUUUAGGAAUAGGAGACCUACUCAUAGGAACAAAAACAAAAACAAUAUUUUUUAUAGGUAUCUAUGUACUUCAAUGUUUGUUCUUAUGAUACUUAUCUGAUUUGGAUCUUUGAUUGAGUGUGAUGAGUUGUGAAGUAAUGUUCACAAUUACAUCUGCAUAUACAUAUAGGAAUAAAAUGUUUAUAGAAAUAACUAGAUAAACUAGAUUAUCCCUUGUUGGGGACUUGUUCUCAAAUGUUAUGAGUUAAGAACAAGGCAACACAAAAUGUUAAUGGUUAAAGUUCUUCGUCCUUCGAAGCAUUAUUUCUCAUAGGAUAUAAUGAUCUUCAGACGAAGGUCAUGAAGGACGUACCUUCAUCAUCGCAGUAUAUAUUAAUGAAAGAAAAAGCAUAUGAAACAUGAGAAAUAAUAUGAAUAAUCAUAUGACCCCUUAAUAUAUCUUUUUAUAUCAUCAUAAAUGAACAUGAACAAUAUUGAAUUACAUUUGUACCUUCGGUUUGACAGAAGGCAAAAGUCCAAGCGUGACGCACGAGUGAAUACAAGUCAGCGUGAAUAGUACAGGGGUACUGUUCAUCUAUUUAUAGGCACAGGGCGUAGCCUGUGUAAAAUUACAUUCAUGCCCUUCAUGUUUACUAUUGACUUAAGGACAAUCUAUCGAGGACUAGAUAGCCUUUUCCUCUUUAAGUCGGUUCCUUUUUCUGCUACUGAGCCGAAGCUUCCUUGCGCGUGUCACACCCGGUUUUGGAAGGCAAAUCGAAUGCGAACCAUGUACGUGCCAAGACCAGAAACUCACAUACACAAUGAUUACAUAAUUGGACAUCGUCACACAAUGAUCGAAAUAAAUAGCGGAAAGGUACUUGAUUACAUCAAGAUGUCCAAGACAUCCACAGAGUCUAAUACAUAACCAUUGUUCAACAUAAUUAUCAAGCUGCGGAAAUACGAAGAUGCUAAGCCUACAUAGGCAACUGACUGGGGGUUUGCCACUAAGAAAGAACUAGAACUGGUCAUAUUCCUGAAACUCCUCGAAGUCAUCCAUGUUGCGAGCAUCACCUCCUGAGCAUUGGGUACACUAGGGUGGGGGUGGUGUGUAAAGCAAGGGUGAGUACACAUCAAUGUACUCAGCAAAUGUCCCGUUUGGCUAAAGUGGACUAGCUAUAUAUGGAGCUGAGGUUAAGCAGUUGCAUUUAGUUGGUCAAGUAUUUAUUACUAUUAGUAGUGCCAAGUUUUAGUAAUAAACCUCGUUAUUACCCAGAAGUACCUCCUCAAAAGAGGAAAUACCAGAGAUCAGAUUUUAUAACAUCAUUGUUAAUCAUCAACAUAAAAGUAUCCAAAGUUCUUCUAAUCAAAGAGGAUCCCAAGGCUGCUCUUAACCGUGAGCUCGGCUGAUAUACCAGUUUUUAACACUCUACAGAGGUUGUACACUUUACCCACAAGUCGUGAUCCCUUUCCAGCCUGGGUUGUACAGACCCGAUCUUCACUACCCAGGUGAAUGGCCAGGGAUACACUACAUAGCCUUUACAAAGACUCCCCUGGUGCAUAGCUGCUCAUUAGGUUUCGCCAGUCGUACAAACGUAGUACACCUCCCCAAGGUGGGUGACUAACAAAACCAAAUCGAAAGAACCUCUGCACCCCAACCUUAGCAGAGCGAGCACUGCGCCCCGACCCCCAUUGACGGCCCUCCGGGAAAGCCAACUACACCCCGAGGUUCAUCUAAUUAAUCAGCUAAGGGCGUCCCAUUCCACCCUCAUGGUUGUACUGUUAUCCCAGGUGGUCACUCCACGAACAGGUCCUUACGGAGAGGUACUCAGGAAAAAGUAUCGAGCCCCCUAAGGUAUCACAAGAUCAUCCACAUAAUCAGGAUAACAGUAUCGUAUCAUAAAUGUUCACAUCAUGUUCAUUGAUUAAGUUAAGGCAAUAGCAACAUGCUAACCAUGAUAACCCAAAAAGGUAAACAAGGAUAAGUGAAUACAAACUAGUCAAUCCUUAGGUUUCAUAAAGUAAUGCGGGACAGUGAAUCAUAAAGUAUGUAGGACAUAAUGGGUCAGAGGACACUUGCCUUCACCAGAUGAUUGCUCAGGGAGGUCUCCAACAACACACUCAGGAACCUCGGUCUGCUCGUUGUCUAAAUAAAGCGAGCAUGCAUUCAAUACAUUUGGAAAGUACAAAUGAACAUCACACCAAACAUGUACAAACAUUGGAACACAUCUUAAAAAUACACAAUACUACAUAAGGGGUAAUGAAUUCAGAGUAUAACAUAAACUAUUGCAUACAUUAACUUUAUUUGAAAAUAGAUUAUUAUUUCCUUAGGUGUUAUUUACAAGUACAUAAUCAUAGAUCAAUUUAUUUUAUGGUGACCUAAAAUUUAGAACAGAGAUGAACUUAUGUAAUACAUACUAUCAAUCUCACAAGCUUAAACAAGUUUAAAUCUCUAAGGUUCUCCUUUUAUUUAUUUUAUUAAAUAAAUGAAACAUACAUCUACAUUAGUUCAUAUUCAAUCCUAAAAAUUAGAGUGUGCAGUCAGUAAGUGAAACCAUUUUAUUUAAACAGAGAAUAAUUCUAUGAACAUUUUGCAAUUUGAAUCACUAAAUUUGGAGUUCAUAUGCAAAAGUUAUGAAAUAAACAAGUUUGGGAAUUCAAAAUAUGAAAUUAGGGCUAAUUAUGUGAAUAUUUAAAAGUCCAGGGCUAAAUCUGCAAUAUUACAAGGGUCUGCGCGCAAAAACCAGGGACGACGGGUUGAUUUCCAGUAAACCAAGGGUCUCUUUAAGAAAACUACCGCGCGAAGGGGUAUCCUGUGAAUCUAACCGUCAGAUCUAAAACCAACGGCUAAGAUUAGAUCUGCGGCCGAGGGCGCGCGCGCGAGCGGGCGAGCGCUGAUAGGCGGGCCAGGGAGUGUCAGCGACAGAGGGGGAGAGUGUGCUGACCAAGCGGGCCCAGCGCUAGGGGGUUUGGGCGCUGACAGGCGGGCCAAGGGCGCAGGGCAUGCGUGCGCGAAGCAGUACCCGCGGUCCGGGCCAUGCGAUUAGGAUCGGACAGAGGGGAUCAGACCGUGGGAAAAAAGACGGCUGCGGGCGGCGCUGCUCCUUUCCGCGGCGGUGAGGUCGCCGGAGUUGAGGCAGGCGUGAGCUAGGGUGGUCCGAGGUCGCCGGAGUUGGGCAGAGAGGGAGAGGGCGCCACGACAAACUCAAUGGCGGGGAAGGGACCAUGAAUCCACGGACAGAGAGGGGAGAACAGCGGUGAGAAAGCCUCAGGCGGGCCGGAGUAACUCCGGUGAGCCAUUCCGGCCAUGGGGAGGGGACUUAAGGCGCGCUAAGGCCUGGGCUAGCUUCAACAGAGGCAUGGGUGACACAGGGACCUACUCCGAUGAACUAGACCGGGCUAAAUCGGCCGGCCACCGCGCAAUAGGGGAAAUUGGGCACGGGGCGAGUGUCUCACCUCGAGGCGGAGCUCAAUGAGGCUUGGGGCGGUCUCCGGUGAGCUGGAUGGUCGGGAACGCGGGCGCGGGUCUCUGGCGGUGGCUGGCGGCGUGAGCAGAGCGCGAGAGAGGGUGAAGCUGAGCGAAAUGAAGCGAGGGGUGUGCGCGGGGCAUUGGCGGGGCUCUAAGAAGGGAGCUGGGCGCAUGGACGGGCGUCGUGGCCGAGAAAUCUGGCGACGUGCGCGAGUGCGCACGCGUCGGUCCACGGCGAGCGCGAAGGGGGCAGAACUGACAGGGCAGGCCCACGACGCAGAGAGAGAAGAAAAGGGGUGCGCGGGGCAACGACUCGACGACUGACGAUCUGGGCCCACGAGACAAAGAGAGAGAGAGGGAGCGAGCGGGCGAAGGAAACUGGCGCCGACAGGUCAGCCCCACUGGACAACGAGCGAGAGAGGGAGGGCGCACGCGAGGGAGAACUGCCGCUGACAGGCGGGGUCCGCCUGUCAGACGGCACGGGCGCACGGCCUGGCUGGGCUUAGUGGGCCGACUGGGCUGCUUUCCCUUUUUCUUUUUUUCUGGAUUUUCUAAUUCCUUUUCUAUUUCUUUUCUAUAGGGUUUUCAAAUCCAAAUUCAAACUAGGUUUCAAAUUCAAAUAACUUCAAACUUGUGCAACACUUCAAAGAAUAUUUUAAGCUAAGCAUGAUGCAACAUGUCAUGACUCAUAAGGUUUUGACAAAAAUAAAUAAUUAACCUCCACUAGUUUAAGCUAUUUCUAAUAAAAAGGAAAAAGAGAAAAAGAAUCUAGAGAGAGAGAAAGCCUAGAGUGAGAAAAAGAAGAGUAACACAUGAUUUUGGGUGGUAAUUAGAAAGAAAUUUUAUACCCCAAAAUCAGGGUGUUACAGCACGUAGCUUCGGAGCUAGUUUGACCUUUGUCUGACCAUGCUUUUCAUAUUGUGAACAGCUUCAUUCCGAGUCCGAAGGUUCCUGUACAUAUAUUACACUUGGGAAACAUUGUUAAUCAUGUUUUUGAGGACCUUCGGAAGACAAAGGCCCCCAACAGUAGCCCCUCGCAAUAUUAAUUUGUUAUAACAACGAAUUUAGACUGUGAUGUGAACGAAGGCCUUAAGCCGAAGGUCCAAAAAACACCUUCCCUUUGCUAGAAUAGCAACAGUCAAUGACAAACGGGGUCCACCAAGUUGCAAAGCAGUGGGCAUAUAAAUAUGAACCAUAGCGGCAACAUUUGAUACGCCAUUUCUGCCAUUUGCGUUAUUUUCUCAAACUUUUAGCUCUUGCUCAUUAGCUCUUGCCUGAUUUUCGAGUGUUUAGAGCUUCGGUUUAAAGACAUGUUUGGUCCAAAUUUGAAAAGAAGAAGAUGAGUGGAGAGAAGAAAAUGGUUGAAGAGAAGAAAAUGACCAGGGAGACGAAGCUGUAUGAAGAGAAAAAAGUUGCAUAUCCUUUCAUUGCUGAAUUUAUUGAGUCCAUGGCAAAAACAAAUACAGAGAAAUUACUAAGGAGAUCAUGGAGGGUUUAUCCGAAGAUUCUGAUGACAGUGAUUGUUAUGAUGUGGAAAGUGGGGAUGAAGACUCUGAGGAUCGGUCGUGGCGCCCAAGCCAUACUAUCUUCGAAAAAUCGACUAUCAAGUAGAGUCAUAUUGAUGCCAUGAGGGGGAGAUAUUUUCGUGACAUGUCUAUUGUCAGAGUUGGAGGAGACAGUACUGCCCCUGCUCUGGAAGAAAACAAAGUUGUUAUAUACCAAAGCUUCUUAAAGGCAGGUCUUCGGUUCCCGCUGAGCAAGUUUGUGGUUGAAGUGCUGAAGAUAUACCAGAUCUUCCUCCAUCAGAUUACCCCCGAAGCUAUAAUUAGGAUGGGGAUUUUUGUCUGGGCUGUAAGGAGUCAGGGGCUAGAGCCAAGCGCGAAGUACUUCUCCAGUAUGCAUGAGCUUUUAUAUGAGACGAAGGCUACUGGCAAAGAACAGUACCACAACAACUUCGGUUGUUAUGGAUUUAUUGCUCGCCCCAAUGCAAGCCACCCAGUGCCAACAUUCCGGAAAAGAUGGCCCAGGGCCUGGAUGGAGGAGUGGUUUUACGUUAAAAAUGAUUUAAAGGCAAGGAAAGACAUCAAAGAAAUCAUUCAGCGCCCCAUCUGGUCUCGAUUCGGCCUCCGAAGGUCGAAGGUGGAAAUUGAUGGCAAUGUCCAAGCAUGUCAGAGGGCCUUUAGUACUGUGUGUGCCUUCACUGGCACAAGGGAUUUGAUUCAAGAGCAUAUAGCCUUCAGGGUAUGGCCACUUGUGGAGAGCUGGGAUAUGCCGAAGGAGACCACCGCCGAUUCUAGUGAGGGUGGUCUAAUCCGAUUGAAGUAUACCUUCAGAUUUAGGGAAAAGUUUGAUGAGCCAGACGAUGACUGGAUGAAGUGUAUCAAAGCUACCAGCGAUGAGUUACUUGGGGCAUACUCCCAGGCCGAAGAUAAUGCUUUGUCCGCAGCUUUCGGGGGUCGGGGCAAGAAAAGAUUGAACAUGGUAUUUGAUGCUAUUGGCUUCAUAUACCCUGUUACCAUUACCUGCUACGAGGGCAAGAGAAAAAGAGAAAGACUAUCGCUUCAGCCAUUGCAGCUGAGCCGAAGGGCAAAAAGAUGAAGGUUCUGAACCAACUGUGGGCGCCAAUGUUGGGGACUUGUUCUCAAAUUCUAUGAGUUAAGAACAAGGCAACACAAAAUGUUAAUGGUUAAAGUCCUUCGUCCUUCGAAGCAUUAUUUCACAUAGAAUAUAAUGAUCUUCAAACGAAGGUCAUGAAGGACGUACCUUCAUCAUCGCAGUAUAUAUUAAUGAAAGAAGAAGCAUAUGAAACAUGAGAAAUAACAUGAAUAAUCAUAUGACCCCUUAAUAUAUCUUUUUAUAUCAUCAUAAAUGAACAUGAACAAUAUUAAAUUACAUUUGUACCUUUGGUUUGACAGAAGGCAAAAGUCCAAGCGUGACGCACGAGUGAAUACAAGUCAGCGUGAACAGUACGGGGGUACUGUUCAUCUAUUUAUAGGCACAGGGCGUAGCCUAUGUAAAAUUACAUUCAUGCCCUUCAUGUUUACUAUUGACUUAAGGAUAAUCUAUCGAGGACUAGAUAGCCUUUUCCUCUUUAAGUCGGUUUCUUUUUCUGCUACUGCGCUGAAGCUUCCUUGCGCGUAGCUUCGGAGGUGGUUCGACCUUCGUUCGACCAUGCUUUUCACUUGGGAAACAUUGUUAAUCAUGUUUUUGGGGACCAUCGGAAGAUGAAGGCCCCCAACAUCCCUCAUUAAAGUAUCUAGCCUAAUAAUAUCCAGCUCAUCUUAAAAGAUUCUAUCCUACACUCAUAGAUCUAUCUUAUCUUAAAAGAUACUCUAUUACCUUAGUAGAUUCAUCUUAUCUUAAAAGAUACUCUAUUACCUUAGUAGACUCAUAGAUCUAUCUUAUCUUAAAAGAUGUCAUCCUAAUAGAUCUAACUUACCUCAAAAGAUUCUACAUUAUCCUUAUGGAUUCAUCUUGCCCUAAUUAGCAUAUUUGUCCCACUCUAGAAUAACAACCAUGAGCUAAUCCAAAAUUUAUUUUGAUCUUAUCUAGUCUAAAAUAGUUAUAUCAAUUUAUUUUAGAUCUGAUCCAAUCUAAUAGGUUAAUCUAACCUAACGAAGUCUAACCUUAAGUUGAGCUAACCUAAGGACAGUCACUUAACCAGUUAAUAGUGGUAAAAUAAAUGAGACUCUACUCCUAUAGAACAUUUUUAUCUUAGUUCAUUCUGCACUAAAUAAAGCACGACAAACCAACCCGACCAUAUGCAACUACCUUAACCAUCAGAUAGUUGCAUAACCCCUCUGUUUUAAUCUGACAGAGAUUCUGACCUACCUACACCAUAUGAUCCAACAGAUUCUAACAUAUCCUAAUAGCAUUUAUCCUACCUUAGUAGAUCUAUCUAAUUUAAACUAGCCUAAUCCAGUCAUAUACAAAUGCGAAGCUCUAAUCUCUGAGCUUUGCGGACUUAACAGAAAAUAGUGUAGCAAAUAAAAAUAUAUACAUAUAUAUAGGAAAUCUAUAAAAUGUCAGAUCUUAAUCUUAGUUAUUGACUAGUUCUAAAUUGGAAGUUCCACUUAGAUAAAAAGGAUACUAGAAUUUCAUAAAGAUAAAGUCAACUUGAUAUACUUAACUAAAUGAUAUUGUUAAAUAGGAUUAUAGAAUCUAAUGUAAGUUGCUUAAGCAAGUUCGAUAAUGCUGGUGGCAUAAAUUAGACCCUAGUCCUAUAAACAUGAUUAACCUAAACCGGUUCCCUAUACUAGCUGAGCCAUAUACAAGUACUUGACCUAUGCGUUGGGUUGCAAAAUCUGUAUAGACCGGCAUAAAAUUAUAAGCACCCAAGAUUUGCAACUACCAUAACUUAUCCUACCCACAUCUACCUACUUGUCCCUAAAUAAAUUAACCAGAUCUUAACUAGUUUAAUCUAAUCAUACCAACCUAAUCUAGACCCUAUCUAAUCUAAUAUGAUCUAAUCUAGUGUGAGUUACUUAAUGCUGGUACAAAGGAGAAGGCCAUACUCCUAAUUCACUAAAGCUUAAAUUGGUGACUUAGAUCAACUCGGCCAUACACAACAACUUGACCUAUAGAACAGGUUACAUAGCUUAUCCGACCAAUCCAGAAGCAAAUCACCAAACUAAAUUCUGACUAAUCUCAUUUAACUUAUAGCUACCUGAAAGAGAAAUAGGGUUUAACCUUUUCCUAUAAAUAAUUUUGGUGGUUGAAUGUCCAACACAAAUAAUUGGACUAACUAGUUUGCUCUAGAUUAUAUAUUCUACAGGUGCUAAAGGUUCAACACAAACCAAUAAAAAGAUCAAGUUACGGUUCAAAAAGAAAGGAGCAAAAAAACCCAAAGAACACCCUGGUCUGGCGCACUGGACUGUCCGGUGUGCCAGGGUCGUACGAGUCUGAACUUGCCACCUUCGGGUUUCAGAAAAGCCGCUCCGCUAUAAUUCACCGGACUGUCCGGUGCACCAGCGGAGCAAUGGCUCCAGCGCAACGGUCGACUGCAACGGACACCUGCAAAAGUGCUACAGUGUGCGGACAGUUCGCGCAGAGUCAGAGCAACCGCCAGAAGGCGCACCGGACAGAGAACAAUACCUGUCCGGUGUGGCACCGGACUGUCCGGUGCCACAUGAAGACAAAGCUCCAAUGAUCAAAACCUUCAGAAUCCUAACAGUUGGGUGACGUGGCUGGCGCACCGAACACUGUCCGGUGGUGCACCAGACUGUCUGGUGCGCCCAUCGACAGCAGCCUGCCCCAACGGUUGAAUUGGUGGUUGGGGGCUAUAAAUACCCCCAACCAUCUCCAGUCCAACCAUCCAAGCAUUCACAACUGUGCAUUCAAUACAAGAGCAAUACACUACACUCCAAGACACAAAUCAAAGCCUCCGAUCAAAUCAAAGUCCACAAUUCAACUCUAGUAUUUUAGGACUUGUGAGAAGAUCGUCUUGUGUUUCUUCGUUGCUCUUGUUGCUUGUUUGGCUUUCUUCUUUCUCUCAUUCUUACUCUCAAAGCCUUGUAAGCGAAGCAAGAGACACCAAUUGUGUGGUGAUCCUUGCGGGGUCUAAGUGACCUGGGAAAUCAAGGAAGAAAGCUCACUCGGUCUAAGUGACCGUUUAAGAGAGGGAAAGGGUUGAAAGAGACCCGGUCUUUGUGACCACCUCAACGGGGACUAGGUUCUUUGGAACCGAACCUCGGUAAAUCAAAUCACCGUGUCAUCCACUUUAUUUUCUUGGUUGAUUUGUUUUCCCCUCUCUCCCGGACCUAACUUUUAUUCUAACACUAACCCCAGCUUGAAGUGUGCUUAAAGUUUGUAAAUUUCAGUUUCCGCCUAUCCACCCCCUCUAGGCGACUUUCACUACCUACUAAACCUUUUGUCCCUAACUCGGAAGGAGACACAAAAGCUCAAGAAGGAAGAGAUCAAUCUCAUCAAGGAAGGAUAAACACCAACACAAGUCUUAAAAGACCAAGCUAGAUCCCAGAUGAGUCAAGAUCCACCAUCCAUGAUGGAAUAUUUACUUGCCCUAAUCCUUAUUACCCCAACUUUCUCUACUUCUGCCUAAUAGCUAAGCAUAAUAGAUCCAUGUGUUCCUAAUCAUCUCCUUGUUUAAUGACUUUAAUUUUUUUUGAAAACAUUUGUGCUUAAAAACACUUGAAAAAAACUCGAAGCGAAGCUACAACCAAACAUUUGGUUUUCUAUAUCUUUUUUCUUACAAAUCUCGAGGAUGAGAUUUCUUUUAAGGGUGGUAGGACUUGUAAAGCCCAAAUUUUUGUAUCAGGAAAAUAAUAAUAAUAAUAAUAAUAAUGAUAUAAAUAAAUAUAAUUGUAGUGACUUGGGAUUAUGGAACCUUUGGAGAUCAUUUGAUUUUGUUUUAUUUGUGCAUAUUCAGUUAAUGGAAUUAUAUUGGUUAAGCAACAAAUAAAUAAAUAUAGAAAAAUGCAUAUCAUGCUGGAAAUCUUGUAUGUUUCCGUUGUUGUCGGCGUUUCGAACCCGGGGGGUCCCUGGACCGACGAGUAAAUUGUCGCCGCGUGCCCCAGCCCAGAAGGGUCGGCGCGAGACGGAGCGCGAAGGGGGGAGAGAAGCCGGAGGGAGACAUGCAUAAAAGGGGAAACCCGCGGCCUUCGUGUUUGUCCCGCGCCCAGGUCGGGUGCGCUUGCAGUAGGGGGUUACAAGCGUCCACGCGGGAGGGAGCGAGAGGCUUACGCGAGCGCCGUCCCGUCCUUCCCCGCGCGGCCAACCCUUUGUAAGAGGGCCCUGGACCUUCCUUUUAUAGGCGUAAGGAGGGGGUCCAGGUGUACAACUGGGAGAUGUAGCAGUGUGCUAACGUGUCUAGCGGAGAAGAGCUAGUGCCCUAAGUACAUGCCGUCGUGGCAGCCGGAGAGGUUUUGGCACCCUAUUCGUGUGAUGUCGUGGCCGCCGGAGGAGCGCAGGGGCCUGGCGGAAGGACAGCUGUCGGGGCUGUCGAGUCCUUGCUGACGUCUCCUUGCUUCUGUAAGGGGGCUGAGAGCCGCCGUCGUCAUGGAGCAUGCGGGGCGCCAUCAUUACUUGUUUACCGGGGCGAGCCAGAUGGGACGCCGGUCUUGUUCCCCGUAGCCAGAGCUAGCUAGGGGUAGGGUAAUGAUGGCCCCUCCUGUGACGUGGUCGGUCCGAGCCCUGGGUUAGGCGAGGCGGAGGCUCCUCCGAGGUCGAGGUCGAGUCUGUCUUCUGAGGCCGAGGUCGAGUCCGAGCCCCUGGGUCGGGCGAGGCGGAGACCGUCGGCUGAGGCCAGGGCUGAGUCCGAGCCCUGGGGUCGGGCGAGGCGGAGUUCGUCGUCUUCCGGGGCUGAGCUCGAGUCCGAGCCCUGGGGUCAGGCGAGGCGGAGUUCGUCGUCUUCCGGGGCUGAGCCCGAGUCCGAGCCCUGAGGUCGGGCGAGGCGGAGUUCGUCGUCUUCCGGGGCUGAGCCCGAGUUCGAGCCCUAGGGUUGGGCGAGGCGGAGUUUCCUAUGGCGCUCGAGGCCGGACUUGGCUGCUGUCAGCCUCACUCUGCCGAGUGGCGCAGCAGUCAGAGCGGCGCAGGCGGCGCUGUCCUUUUGUCAGGCCGGUCAGUGGAGCGGCAAAGUGACUGCGAUCACUUCGGCUCUGUUGACUGAAGGGCGCGCGUCAGGAUAAAGGUGUCAGGCCACCUUUGCAUUAAAUGCUCCUGCGAUACGGUCGGUCGGCGUGGCGAUCGGGCCAAGGUUGCUUCUUGGCGAAGACUGGGCCUCGGGCGAGCCGAAGGUGUGUCCGUUGCUUGAGGGGGCCCUCGAGCGAGACGUGAAUCCUCCGGGGUCGGCUGCCCUUGCCCGAGGCUAGGCUCGGGUGAGGCGAGGUCGUGUUCCUUGAGUGGACCGAGCCCUGACUUAAUUGUACCCAUCAGGCCUUUGCAGCUUUGUGCUGAUGGGGGUUACCAGUUGAGAUUAGGAGCCUUGAGGGUACCCCUAAUUAUGGUCCCCGACAGUAGCCCCCGAGCCUCGAAGGGAGUGUUAAUACUCGCUUGGAGGCUUUUGUCGCACUUUUUUGCAAGGGGACCGGCCUUUCUCGGUUGCAUUUUGUCUCGGUGGGAACGCGCGAGCGCACCCGCCGGGUGUAGCCCCCGAGGCCUCGGAGGAGUGGUUUGACUCCAUCGAGGUCUUAAUGCGUUUCGCGAUGCUUCGGCCGGUCUGGUUGUUCCCUCAUGCGAGCUGGCCGUAGCCUGGGUGCACGGUCGGGUCCCACGUUCUCGGGCUGGUAUGUUGACGCUGUCAACGGUUUGGCCGGAGCCGGGUUUGCGAGAGCAGCCCCCGAGCCUCCGCACAGAGCGAGAAGACGGUCAAGGACAGACUCGACUUUUUUACAUAUGCCCCUGCGUCGCCUUUCCGCAAGGAGGAGGGGGGAAAAGCGCCAUGUUGCCCUUGGAGGGCGCCGAACAUGGUGUCUCUAGUGAGCUGCUGACGGGUAAUCCGAGUGGACGCCCAUGCCCCAUUUGUUAGGGGUCGGCUAGAGGCCCGGAGGCGCGCUCCAAAAGUACCUGCGGGUGAUCUGCCGGACCUGGUCCCCUUUUGACGGGGUCCGAGGGCUCGAUGCCUCCCUCUGAUGGGAUUCCGUUACAAGAUCGUUCCCGCUGGUCUCGGAAAUGUCCUAGGGUACCUCGGGAGCGUAGCCCGAGCCUUGGUUAUGUAUCGAACGUACCCAGGGUCAUCCCUCGCUCUGCGUCUGAGGCGGCUGUGAACCCUUCGAGGGCCAGCCUGCGAACCCCUGAUCAGUAGUGGGCGCAGAGCCCGAAUGGCCUGAGGCGGCCGUUGAACCCUUCCGAGGGGCCGGCCUUCGAACCUCUGACCAGUAGUGGGCGCGGAGCCCGAGCGCUCUGAGGCGGCUGUUGAACCCUUCCGAGGGGCCAGCCUUCGAACCUUUGAUCAGUAGGUGGGCUCGGGGCCCGUUUCCUUCGCGGAGAAGGAUCCCUUUUGGGGUAUCCCCUUUCCCGGUCCCAGUUGUAAGAGAGAGAAAGAGGAAGAGGAAAAGGAUACGAAAUCGAAUGAUGUGGCACACCUUUUUUGUCGCGGUCAUUAUGGCAGAGGUGAAGCGUCGCCUGCUUCGCCCGCCAAAGGUGCCGCCUGUCCCGUCGCAGAGUUAAUACGACGGGACGAGUGGUUCGCGGGGCAGCCAUUGCGCGUGCGAGCCAUUCGAGGAACGGGUGUUUCGCUUUGAGUUUUGAAUCCCGCGACGGGUUCGGGCGACAUGUUGAACGGGUCUUGCCUGGGUCUUUAUAUAUUCGGGAGAGGGGCCGGUGAUGGUUCUUUGCUCUGCUACUUGCCUCCUUCUUAGGUUUUCACAACCCGAGGGAAUAGCCAGAGAAAAGGAAACCGCCCACCCAGUCCUUUCCGCCGCCACCUCCUCUGCUUGGUGAUGGCCGACCGGGUGACCAUUGUUCCGCCGCGCGACCCAUGGCCUUUCUCCACCGUCACGGCGGAUGACCUGGAGGCCCUCGUCGCUGAGGGUUUACUUCGCCCUCUCUCCGAUGAGAGGCAGCCGGAGUGGAUGCCCCCCCCCGAGCGGAGCCACCCCGUCUCUGCCGCCGGGGUAUGUCGUGAGCUUCGUCUCCUUUCACGAACGAGGGUUCGGAGUGCCGGCAAGCCGUUUUAUGCGGGCGAUUCUGCAUGUCUACGGGGUGGAGCUGCACAACCUCAGCCCUAACUCCAUCUCGCAAGCCGCCAUCUUCGCAGCGGUUUGCGAAGGGUACUUGGGGAUUGACCCCCACUGGGACCUAUGGACUCAUUUCUUCUCCGCGGAGCUUUUUGCUUCGCCGACGGGGGAGAGAAGGGUCCGCGCGGCAGUGCGGGCCGGUGGCUGCAUCCUCCAGCUGAGGCAGGCGCGGGCGCCGCAGUAUAUUCCCGCCAUCCUUGCGUCCUCGAACAAAGGGUGGCAGCACCAGUGGUUUUAUCUCCGAAAUGACGACAGGAGGCUCCCGUCGUUUUCUCAACGAGUGGUGAUCGUCGCCGCCGAUGCCUGGCGCUACGGGACCCCGCAUGACAGACAGAAGAAUCUCCAGCCCCUUCUGAAGGCCCUGGAGGUGUUGCGGAAAGGAGGGCUCACCGCUGCGGGAGUGAUUGCCGCCAUUCAUCGCCGGAGGGUGCUUCCCUUGACGGAGCGGCGGUUGCCGCUUUGGGAGAUGACGCCGGAGGCCGACUUGGAGGGUUCGUGGAUGUCCUUGGAUCCUCUUUCCGUCGGCGACCUCCACGGGCGGGUAGCCGUCGCGUUGGAAAAACCAGAUGCCGGUGCCCUUUCCCAGCCCUUGAUGCGUCCCGACCGCGGGUGUGUGUCCCUGGUGAGUGUCCGCUCCUUCUUUCUCCUUACGUCGGAUUGCCCUUGGUUCUCACAGCCGAGACUUUCUGUCUGUCCCCAGGAGGUAGGGUGGCACAAGCCUUCCCGGCCUCCGGUCCCGGAGGACGCGAUGGACCGAGCUGCGCAGAGGGUUGCCGCGGAGAAGAGGAAGGAGAAAAAGGACGCGAAGAAGGCUCGGGCCCGCGAGCGGAUGCGGGCUCGGGACGCCUUGGAAAGGCUCCGGCGUCGGCAGGAGAGGGAUGGGCUCCCGAGGGAGCCAUUGCCGGAAACGCCUGACGACGACGACGACGACGAUGAAGACGAUGACGAGGACGACGAUAUGGCUGCUCGCCUUGGCCUUAGCCCGAAUCUGAGGCUGGGACAGGAGUCGUCAAGCCAGCUCCCGAGCGGGCUAGCGCCGCCGGUUUCCGGGGCCGGGACGUCGGGGUCCCGGUCCGAAGAGCGGGGGCAGACCGAGGGGGUACUUGACCCCUCGGCUGGGGAAGUUGAGGUGACCCCGGGGAGUCAGGCCAAGUUGCCUGUUCCCCAAGAACCGUCGCCCGUGCCGGCUGCGUAGGAGGGCGAUCCUCAGGUCGUCGUGGCUACGCCUGGGCAGUCCGUCUCUCGGGCGUCUAGGGCGCCCAAGGCGAGGAUGGUACCAAGGCUAGCAGCGAGGCAGACCUCGGCGGUACCUUCGGGGGUCGAGGUUCGAGAGACCUCCCCACAGGCACGGUUGAUCAUGGCCCGGAGUGGGUAAGUACCUUAGGAUGUCUUCGUCCUGGCUCCCCCUUUGUAUGUCCCGACCCUGACUUCCCUUUUUUCCUUUAGCAAGCGGAGUCACGGUCCGACCGAUCUGGCUCCCCGGAAGGUCCUCAAGACGGCGUCGGCUUCCGCAGCUGGUGUCGCGCCGGGCCUCGCCGGCCAGCUGACCUCCUCGCAAGACGCCCCACAGCGGGGGGCUCAGGCGGCACCAGUUGCCGUGGAGCGAGCUCCCGAGGCUGGCUCUUCUGUCGAGGCGGCCAUCGCGCUGGGGGAUGCUGCUGGCACGGCCGUGGCCUCGGGCCCACCAGACGUGCUGUCGGCGCUGGCGCCGGCCACUGCCGAGGCCGUUGCCGUCCUGGCCGUGGAGCGACCCAUCGCCGCCGACGCUGAGAUGGCCGAGGCGUCGCUACUUGGUGCCUUGGAGGAGGGGGGCACGGGACCGCGACCCGUCCCAUCGAGCGGCAGCCUUGUAGCCGCGCGGCGCAGCUCCGAGGGGCGGCGCCAGUUGCUUCGGUUCCAGACCCGUGAGGCCUCGGAUCCCUUCUUCGUUCUUGACGAUGAGCGGGAGGAGCAGUCUUGGGACGAGCUCCGUGAGUGUGCCGAGGCAACGGUGGGGUCGCUCCGGUCAUCCUUGGAGGUCUUUUGCAGGGACGUUCCCAAGAUCCUCCAGGUAAUGAUUUCAGGCAUACCUUUCUCGUGAUCAAGGCGUUCUUUGUGACGCCUCGCUUCCUUUCCUCAGGAUCUGACGGAUCUGAGCGCCGCCAAGUCGUCGUUCAUCCGCCAUGAGGUCGAUGUCUAGGGUUCGCUGUGGUCCCUGAGGACCAUGCUUGCCAGGGCUACCGCGCACCUCUCCCAGCAGAGCGCCGAGGUGGCGGACCUUCGGUUGCUCUGUGCCGACCUGGGAGCAGAGGCAACAGCGGCACAUGCAGAGGUGCAGCGGCGGCAGUUGGAGCUUGACCAGGUCACCGGCGAGUGGGACCAAUCUCGGGGCCGGGCCGUCGAGGCUGAAAGCCAGGCCGGAGCCCUUGCAGCAGACCUAGCCGUGGCCCAAGCCGCAUCCUCGGAGCAGCGUGCCCGAGCCGGAGGUACGUCUUGGCUGUUUUACGUUUUUGCUUCAGCUCAGUUCCUCAACUUGCGUUUGAGGUCUUGCGCUUUGGCUGUUCGCAGAGCUCGAGUCUGCCCUUGAUAAGUCCACCAAGGCGCUUGCUCAGGAGGCCGAGCAGAGGGAGGCCGACCACGCGGCCAUGUCUGAUGCCAUCUCGGCUUUCUGCCGGGUCGUCGGCUUCGACGAUGUCCCCUCGGGAAGCUCCCCUCAAAGUCGCCUGCAGGCCUUGGGUGACCACGCGCGUGGCAGGCUCCGCGAGGUGCUACAUCACGGCGUCAGGCGGGCCUUCGCCGUGCUUGCUUCCCACUAUGUCGUGGAUCUGGAGCGGGUCAGCGAGGGGUAUUGCCUCCCCGACGAAGAUGAAGCCGCCCUGGCCGAAGUCCAGAGGCUCGACGCGGCCGUCGCGGGCCCGAGCGCGGUGCUAGCAACCACCUUCGAGGCAGAGAUCCUCCCGCUUGCGCCGUCGUCCGAGGCCGGGGCGGACCUUGCCGAGGGUGGGAACGAAGCCGAGGGCGCGGCUCCUUCUCCGGGCGACGCCUGACUCUGCCGGAGCAGUCUUCUUUGAAUGCACAUGUGUCUUUUGUGGUCACUGAGGCCCGAACACUUUAUUAUCGUAGUAUAAGUUUGUGUUCCUUUUCCUCCCGUUUUGCGUAUCUGUCCCCGUUCGUCGGUAGCAGGGUGGCUUGCCCAAGUAAGAGUCAUUUUUCGUGGUAGGUGACGAGUGAGGUAUCCGUAUCCCAGAGGCGUAGGAGUCCCUCGGCUCGGUCGGCCUUGCCACUUACAUGCGCCCUCAUUUGCUUCUUGGGGUCCUUCUACUGAUAUAGCCGGGGAACGCAGAAGCCUUUUUGAUGGAAGACUUUUUUCGAGGAAAAUUUUGACGCAAGGGGGUUCCCCUCCUUCUAGCCCCCGAGGGAGGGUCGGGCUUUGCCGAGGCAAGGCUGACCCUUCCUUGAUGACUAGACUUUGUACGUGAGCGAGUUAUAUGAACGACUUGAAAACAUCUUAAGGGUAGAAGCGACGUAGCUGUUUGAUGUUCCAAGCGUUGCUGUAGACCUCGCCUUGACUGUUGACCAGUUUGUACGUCCCGGGCUUCAGAACUUUGGCGAUGACGAACGGCCCUUCCCAGGGAGGCGUGAGCUUGUGCCGCCCUCAGGCGUCUUGCCGCAGUCGAAGCACCAAGUCGCCCACCUGGAGGUCUCGGGACCGAACCCCUCGGGCGUGGUAGCGUCGCAGGGACUGCUGGUACCGCGCCGAGUGUAGUAAGGCCAUGUCCCAAGCCUCUUCCAGCUGGUCCAGUGAGUCUUCUCGAUUAGCUCGAUUGCUUUGGUCGGCGUAGGCCCUCGUCCUCGGGGAACCGUAUUCUAAGUCUGUGGGCAAGAUGGCCUCGGCCCCAUAGACUAGAAAGAACAGUGUGAAGCCCGUGGCUCGGCUCGGCGUUGUCCUCAGACUCUAGACCACAGAGGGGAGCUCCUUCAUCCAUCGCUUACCGAACAUGUUGAGGUCGUUGUAGAUCCGCGGCUUGAGUCCUUGCAGGAUCAUGCCGUUGGCACGCUCUACUUGCCCAUUCGUCAUGGGGUGAGCCACGGCGGCCCAGUCCACCUGGAUGUGGUGAUCCUCGUAGAAGUCUAGGAACUUUCUGCCGGUGAACUGGGUGCCGUUGUCAGUGAUGAUGGAGUUUGGGACCCCAAAACGAUGGAUGAUGUUGGUGAAGAACGCCACCGCCUGUUCGGACCUGAUGCUGUUUAGAGGUCGGACCUCGAUCCACUUGGAGAAUUUGUCGAUGGCGACCAGCAGGUGCGUGUAGCCCCCGGGCGCCUUCUGCAAGGGACCGACGAGGUCUAGACCCCACACAGCAAACGGCCAGGUGAUGGGUAUCGUCUGCAAAGCCUGAGCGGGCAGGUGUGUCUGCUUCGCAUAGAACUGACAACCUUCGCAUGUGCGGACAAUUCUAGUGGUGUCGGCCACCGCCGUCGGCCAAUAGAAACCUUGUCGGAAAGCGUUUCCAACAAGGGCUCGAGGCGCUGCGUGAUGACCGCAAGCCCCCGAGUGUAUUUCUUGAAAAGCUCCUGGCCUUCAGUGAUGGAUAUGCACCGUUGGAGGAUGCCUGAGGGGCUGCGGUGGUAGAGCUCCUUCCCGUCCCCCAGCAAGACAAACGACUUGGCGCGCCGCGCCAACCGCCGAGCUUCGGCUCGGUCGAGGGGUAGCUCUCCUCGGUGGAGAUAUUGCAGGUACGGGGUCUGCCAGUUUCGAUUAGGCGUGACUCCGCUCCGCUCCUCCUCGACGCGCAGUGCCUCACCCUCGGGGGCCGAGGGUGCCUCGGGCCGAGCCGAGGGUGUCUCGGGCCGGGCCGAGGGUGCCUCGGGCUGGGCUAAGGGUGCCUCGGGCUCGGACGCGUCGUCGGUCUUGACAGAGGGUUGAUGCAGGUCUCGGGAGAAGACGUCCGGGGGAACCGUUGUUCGCCCCGAAGCUAUCUUAGCUAGCUCAUCCGCAGUCUUGUUGUAGCGUCGGGCAAUGUGGUUGAGCUCGAGCCCGUAGAACUUGUCUUCCAGGCGCCGAACCUCAUCGCAGUAGGCUUCCAUCUUCAGGUCGCGGCAGUGGGAGUUCUUCAUGACUUGGUCGAUGACGAGCUGCGAGUCACCGCGAGCGUCGAGGCGUUGGACCCCCAGCUCGAUGGUGAUGCGCAACCCGUUGACCAGAGCCUCGUACUCGGCCACAUUGUUGGACACCAGGAAGUGGAGGCGUAGCACGUAGCGUAGGUGCUUCCCGAGGGGCGAGAUGAAGAGCAGGCCCGCGCCUGCCCCUGUCUUCAUCAGCGACCCGUCGAAAAACAUGGUCCAGAGUUCCGGUUGGAUCGGAACUGUUGGGAGUUGGGUAUCGACCCAUUCAGCCACAAAGUCCGCCAAGACUUGGGACUUGAUGGCCUUCCGAGGGGCGAACGAGAUUGUCUCGCCCAUGAUUUCCACCGCCCACUUUGCAAUCCUACCCGAGGCCUCUCGGCACUGGAUGAUCUCCCCCAGGGGGAAGGAUGACACCACAGUCACCGGAUGAGACUCAAAGUAGUGUCGCAACUUCCGCCGCGUCAGGAUCACCGCGUACAGCAGCUUCUGAAUUUGUGGGUAGCAGAUCUUGGUCUCGGACAGUACCUCACUGAUGAAGUAGACUGGCCUCUGGACAGGCAAUGCAUGCCCCUCUUCUCGUCUCUCAACCACGAUCGCGGCACUAACCACCUGAGUGGUAGCGGCGAUGUAGAUCAAGAGGGCUUCUCCGGCAGCGGGUGGCACCAAGAUGGGCGCGUUCGUGAGGAGCGCUUUCAGGUUCCCGAGGGCUUCCUCGGCCUCAGGGGUCCAAGUGAAGCACUCGGCCUUCCUUAAGAGGCGGUACAGAGGCAGGCCUCUUUUGCCGAGGCGCAAGAUGAAACGGCUCAGAGCCGCAAGGCAUCCCGUGACCCUCUGUACGCCUUUUAAGUCCUUGAUGGGCCCCAUGUUGGUGAUGGCCGCGAUUUUCUCCGGGUUGGCCUCGAUGCCCCGCUCGGAGACGAUGAACCCCAAGAGCAUGCCUCGGGGGACCCCGAAGACACACUUCUCAGGAUUGAGUUUUACGCCUUUCGCCUUGAGACACCGGAAUGUCGUUUCAAGGUCAGAAAGGAGGUCGGAGGCUUUCCUCGUCUUGACUACGAUGUCAUCGAUGUAGGCCUCGACCGUUCGACCAAUGUGUUCGCCGAACACAUGGUUCAUGCACCGUUGGUACGUUGCACCCGCAUUCCUCAAACCAAACGACAUGGUAACAUAGCAGUACAUGCCGAAGGGUGUGAUGAAAGAAGUCGCGAGCUGGUCGGACUCUUUCAUCUUGAUCUGGUGAUACCCUGAGUAGGCAUCAAGGAAAGACAAGGUUUCGCACCCAGCAGUGGAAUCCACGAUUUGAUCGAUGCGAGGCAGAGGGUAGGGAACUUUCGGACAUGCUUUGUUUAGACCAGUGUAGUCUACACACAUCCGCCAUUUCCCUCCUUUCUAUCUCACAAGCACAGGGUUGGCAAGCCAUUCGGGAUGGAAUACCUCUUUGAUGAACCUUGCCGCCAUUAGCUUGUGGAUCUCCUCGCCUAUGGCUCUGCGCUUUUCCUCGUCGAAUCGGCGCAGAGGCUGCUUCACGGGUCGGGCCCCAGCUCGGAUAUCCAGCGAGUGCUCGGCGACAUCCCUUGGUAUGCCGGGCAUAUCCGAGGGACUCCACGCGAAAACGUCGGCGUUCGCGCGGAGGAAGUCGACGAGCAGUGCUUCCUAUUUGGGAUCAAGCUCAGAACCGAUCCGGAUCUGCUUGGAGGCGUCGUUGCUGGGGUCGAGAGGGACGGAUUUAACCGUCUCCGCAGGCUCGAAGUUGCCAGCGUGGCGCUUCACGUCUGGCGCCUCUUUGGAGAGGCUCUCCAGGUCGGCGAUGAGGGCCUCGGAUUCGGCGAGGGCCUUGGCGUACUCCACGCGCUCCACGUCGCAUUCGUACGCGUGUCGGUACGUGGGGCCGACGGUGAUGACUCCGUUGAGGCCCGACAUCUUGAGCUUGAGGUAGGUGUAGUUGGGGACGGCCAUGAACUUGGCGUAGCAUGGUCUCCCCAGCACGACGUGGUAGGUUCCUUGAAACCCGACCACCUCGAACGUGAGGGUCUCCCUUCGGAAGUUGGAGGGCGUCCCAAAGCAGACGGGUAGAUCGAGUUGUCCGAGGGGCUGGACGCGUUUCCCGGGGAUGAUCCCGUGAAAAGGCGCAGCGCCUGCCCGGACCGAGGAUAGAUCAAUCCGCAGGAGCCCGAGGGUCUCGGCGUAGAUGAUGUUGAGGCUGCUGCCUCCGUCCAUGAGGACCUUGGUGAGCCUGACGUUGCCGAUGACAGGGUCGACAACGAGCGGGUAUUUCCCCGGGCUCGGCACGCGGUCGGGGUGGUCGUCCUGGUCGAAGGUGAUGGGCUUGUCGGACCAGUCUAGGUAGACUGGCGCCGCCACCUUUACCGAGCAGACCUCCCGACGCUCUUGCUUGCGGUGCCGAGCCGAGGCGUUCGCCACUUGCCCACCGUAGAUCAUGAAGCAGUCGUGGACCUCGGGGAACUCUCCUGCCUUGUGAUCCUCCUUCUUAUCGUUGUCGCGGGCCCUGCCACCCUCCGCAGGUGGCCCGGCCUUGUGAAAGUGGCGCCGAAGCAUGGCACACUCCUCAAGGGUGUGCUUAACGAGCCCCUGAUGAUAGGGGCACGGCUCCUUGAGCAUCUUGUCGAAGAGAUUGACGCCCCCGGGAGGUUUCCGAGGGUUCUUGUACUCAGCAGCGGCGACAAGGUCCGCGUCGGCGGCGUCGCGUUUCGCUUGCGACUUCUUCUUGCCUUUCUUCUUGGUGCCGCGCUGAGUGGACGCCUCGGGGACAUCCUCCGGCUGGCGGCCCUGGGGCUGCUUGUCCUUCCGGAAGAUGGCCUCAACCGCCUCCUGGUCGGAGGCGAACUUGGUGGCGAUGUCCAUCAGCUCGCUCGCCCUAGUGGGGGUCUUGCGACCCAGCUUGCUCACCAGGUCGCGGCAGGUGGUGCCGGCGAGGAACGCGCCGAUGACAUCCGAGUCGGUGACGUUGGGCAGCUCGGUGCGCUGCUUCGAGAAUCGCCGGAUGUAGUCCCGGAGAGACUCUCCCGGCUGUUGGCGGCAGCUUUGGAGAUCCCAGGAGUUCCCAGGGCGCACGUACGUGCCCUGGAAGUUGCCGGCGAAGGCUUGGACUAGGUCGUUCCAGUUGGAGAUCUGCCCCGGAGGCAGGUGCUCCAGCUAGGCUCGAGCGGUAUCGGAGAGGAACAGGGGGAGGUUGCGGAUGAUGAGGUUGUCAUCGUCCGUUCCACCUAGGUGGCAGGCCAGCCGGUAAUCCGUGAGCCACAGUUUCGCCUUGUCUCCCCCGAGUACUUUGUGAUAGUAGUCGGGGUUCGAAACCGGGUCAGGAACGGCGCCCAUCGUAUGGCCCGGCUGAAAGCCUGCGGACCGGGUGGUUCGAGCGAGGGACUCCGAUCCUCCCCGCUGUCGUAGCGUCCCCCACGCCUAGGGUGGUAGCCUCGGCGCACCCUCUCAUCGAGGUGGGUUCGACGGUUGCGGUGAGGGUGUUCGUUGCCGAGGAGACCCGGGGCCGCAGGCGCAGUGUUGCGCGUGCGCCCGGUAUGGACCGAGGCUUCCCGCAUGAAUCGGGAAGUCGCGGCGCGAUGCUCCGAGGGGUAGCCCUGCCUUCGGGAGGCAGAGCUUUCGGCCCGUCGGACCGCGGCAUCCUCCAGGAGAUUCUUGAGCUCUCCCUGGAUACGCCGCCCCUCGGUGGUUGAUGGCUCCGGCAUCGCGCAGAGAAGUAUUGCCGCUGCAGCCAGGUUCUGGCCGACCCCACUGGAAGUCGGUGGCGGCCUUGCCCUGACGUCAUCGGUGAUGCGGUGCUGGAUGCCCUGGGGUAGAUGACGCGCUUCUCCGGCCGGAGGUUGGCCCACCCAUUCCUGCCCGAUGUCCCGGCGGAAUGGCUCAAGUGUUCCUGCUCCCUCGUCGAGCCUAGCCUGCAUCUCGCGGAUUUGCUCGAGCUGUGGGUCAUGACCCCCCACCGGGACGGGGACCACAGCUAGCUCCCGAAGGAUGUCAACGCGAGGCGCAGGCCUAGGGGGAUCACCGUUCUCCGGUAUACUAAGAUGGUUGCCUUCGCCGGGACCCCCUAGAUCGACGUGGAAACAUUCACGAGUUGGGCCGCAGUCCUCGUCGCCGAGGCUGCGACUACCGUCGGAACAGUCGAAAAGGCAGUAGUCGCAUGCGGUCAUGAAGUUCCGCAUGGCACUGGGGUUGCCAAGUCCGGAGAAAUCCCAACUAAAGUCGGGCUCGUCAUCUUCCUCGGAGCCCGAGGGCCCGUAGGUCGAGACGAUUGUCAGCCGGUCCUAGGGUGACCGCAUACGAUACCCCAGAGGGUUUGGACUCGCCUCUACGAGAGCGUCCACCGAAGCGAAGUCGCUUGGUGGGUCGAGGCUUAAUCCGAAAGGCACGAGAUGGGAGUCGGUCGGUACCUCUUGGUCGACGGGCGGUGACGAAGUCACGUCAGGGGUAGACUGCACCGUCAUCUCAGGUACAAGGGUGACGCCCAGCAAGUCCCUCGCGAGCAUGCUGGUGUCGUCCGUCCGCUUGGAGUUGGCGUGUCGCGGGGAAACGGCGCUCGUCUUCGUCUCAGACGCGAGGUCGAUGUCCGACGUGUUCCCCGUUGGGGCGUCGGCGCCGUUGACUCGCUCGACAGCCGAUGAGGUGCCGCUUCCUGCUUGACCUUGGUUGCCCCGCCUCCUCCUCCGUCGACGGGGGAUGCGACGGGACAAGCCCGAAUGUUGUUCUUCCGCCAUGUGGAGAAGACAUCAUCGAUUCCGCCGCCGGCGGGUGGGUUGUCGGCCGCCAUUGUCGUCGUCGCGCGGCGGGGGAAGGAGUAUCAUGUCGUAGCUGCCGUCGAGGGACAAGAACUCAAGACUCCCGAAACGGAGCACCGUCCCGGGCUGGAAAGGUUGCUAGAGACUGCCCAUCUGGAGCUUGACGGGAAGCUGUUCGUCAACACGCAGCAGGCCCCUACCUGGCGCGCCAACUGUCGGCGUUUCGAACCCAGGGGGUCCCUGGACCGACGAGUAAAUUGUCGCCGUGUGCCCCAGCCUAGAUGGGUCGGCGUGAGACGGAGCGCGAAGGGGGGAGAGAAGCCGGAGGGAGACAGGCGUAAAAGGGGAAACCCGCGGCCUUUGUGUUUGUCCCGCGCCCAGGUCGGGUGCGCUUGCAGUAGGGGGUUACAAGCGUCCACGCGGGAGGGAGCGAGAGGCUUACGCGAGCGCCGUCCCAUCCUUCCCCGCGCGGCCAACCCUCUGUAAGAGGGCCCUGGACCUUCCUUUUAUAGGCGUAAGGAGGGGGUCCAGGUGUACAACUGGGAGAUGUAGAAGUGUGCUAACGUGUCUAGCGGAGAAGAGCUAGUGCCCUAAGUACAUGCCGUCGUGGCAGCUGGAGAGGUUUUGGCACCCUGUUCGUGUGAUGUCGUGGCCGCCAGAGGAGCGCUGGGGCCUGGCGGAAGAACAGCUGUCGGGGCUGUCGAGUCCUUGCUGACGUCUCCUUGCUUCCGUAAGGGGGCUGAGAGCCGCCGUCGUCAUGGAGCAUGCGGGGCGCCAUCAUUACUUGUUUACCGGGGCGAGCCAGAUGGGACGCCGGUCUUGUUCCCCGUAGCCAGAGCUAGCUAGGGGUAGGGUAAUGAUGGCCCCUCCUGUGACGUGGUCGGUCCGAGCCCUGGGUUAGGCGAGGCGGAGGCUCCUCCGAGGUCGAGGUCGAGUCUAUCUUCCGAGGCCGAGGUCGAGUCCGAGCCCCUGGGUCGGGUGAGGCGGAGACCGUCGGCUGAGGCCAGGGCUGAGUCCGAGCCCUGGGGUUGGGCGAGGCGGAGUUCAUCGUCUUCCGGGGCUGAGCCCGAGUCCGAGCCCUGGGGUCGGGCGAGGCGGAGUUCGUCGUCUUCCGGGGCUGAGCCCGAGUCCGUGCCCUGGGUCGGGCGAGGCGGAGUUCGUCGUCUUCCGGGGCUGAGCCCGAGUCCGAGCCCUGGGGUUGGGCGAGGCGGAGUUUCCUAUGGCGCUCGAGGCCGGACUUGGCUGCUGUCAGCCUCACUCUGCCGAGUGGCGCAGCAGUUGGAGCGGCGCAGGCGGCGCUAUCCUUUUGUCAGGCCGGUCAGUGGAGCGGCGAAGUGACUGUGGUCACUUCGGCUCUAUUGACUGAAGGGCGCGCGUUAGGAUAAAGGUGUCAGGCCACCUUUGCAUUAAAUGCUCCUGCGAUACGGUCGGUCGGCGUGGCGAUCGGGCCAAGGUUGCUUCUUGGCGAAGACUGGGCCUCGGGCGAGCCGAAGGUGUGUCCGUUGCUUGAGGGGGCCCUCGGGCGAGACGUGAAUCUUCCGGGGUCGGCUGCCCUUGCCCGAGGCUAGGCUCGGGCGAGGCGAGGUCGUGUUCCUUGAGUGGACCGAGCCCUGACUUAAUUGUACCCAUCAGGCCUUUGCAGCUUUGUGCUGAUGGGGGUUACCAGCUGAGAUUAGGAGCCUUGAGGGUACCCCUAAUUAUGGUCCCCGACAGUUGUACUCAAAUUUUCGAGACAAGUUGAAAAGUAGAAUUUGUAACACCUAAAAUACCUAUUUUGGAAUUUGAAAGAGGUUCUCCAAAAGAUGUGAAUUAAAAUGUCUUUGAUAAAGAUCUUCAUAUUCAUAAAAAUACUUUCUUGGAACACAUAAGUGAUAAUAUUAAAAUUUUCAUAUAUAUACAUAUGUUUGAAUGGAAUUCUAAUAAAAUAAUAAUAAUAAAAUAAAAUAAAUAUAUCUAUAUAUAUAUGUACAUAGAUUAUGUUUGUUUGGAAUACAAUCAUUCCUAUUAUUGAAUUAUAUAUUUUUAUGCCUCUAUGCUUAAAGAGAUAAAAUAGAUAAGUAAAAUAUAAUGGUUGCAUUCAUUCUAGGGUUUUGCUUGUGUGCAUUCAACCGGGAAAUUUGAACCCCAAAUCAAAUUGAGUUUGGAACAAAUUUGGAAUUUAUGAUUAGAUUUGGAAUAGGAAUUCGAAUAGGAAAAGAAAAAGAAAAUGAAACCCUGCCCGGGCCAACAUCCUCAUAUUCAGCCCAUCAUCACUUACCCCUCGUGCGGCCCAAGAAACACCGCCAACGCGCCGACAUGUGGGUCCCAUUUUCCAUACGCUCGCGCCGCACCACCGCCAUGCGAGGCCCAUUGGCCGGCCACCCAGUCUCCGCGCGCAAGCUCGUGCUUGUGGAUCGUUUCUCUGCUUGGUGGGGCCCACUCACCAUCUCUUUCCCCUUCAUGCUGGCCGCGGAAUCGCUAGUAAAUCGAGCGGAAUCCGGAAACGACCUGGGGGAAAUCGGCCGGGGAUUAGUGCUAUUUUCGCGGGGUUGUUGGGAUUCGGCUUCGCCUUGUGGCUAUAUACCCGGGCCUCUCCCCAUCGAACAACCAGAAGAACACUUACGCCGGGAUCCAUGGUGGCAAACAGAGAUAAGAGAGAGAGUAGGCCGAGGGGGAAGGGGUAGUGAAGGUGCUCGGUGUUACCCGCUGGUGUCUCCAUCGACGAUCUGCUUCUGGGCAACCAAUCGCUGGCCGUAGCCUACCCGGUUGUGCAUGCUGAUGGAGCAGAAGCUGGUCGCCAGGCGCGGGACAUCGUACUCAUGGCGGCGGAGAACUUUGUCUGCCGUGCGAUGAUCGUCGUGCUUGGCUGCCACCUCACCAACAAGUACUCUUGGGGGUCGGGUCCCUCAGGAUGGCUCGUGAACGUAGCUCUGUCGCUGUGGGCGCGCCGACGUGCUCGUCGUCGAGGGCUGCGCGGGCACUGCUGUACCCACAGCCAGAGGAAGAAGACCAUCUCACAAUUGUGCGGAUGGGAUUGGAUACGGAGUUAACCCAAUGUGAACUGUCGAUCUCGUGAUCAACGAGCAGUGCAGGAUGGGGAGUCCAGAUCUAAUCAGAUUCGUUGAUAGUUGAUCUUUCGCCCUAGAUUUCUAGACACCCUUUCGUCGUGCCGUGUUUGCAAAAGAACCCCUGACUUUAUUCUGAACCAACCCACAGUCCACUCAGAUAGAGAAAACCUGACAUGUAAGUCCUAUUUUUAACAAAAUAGCCCAUGCGUCCCUAGAAAAUUAUAACCGCGUCUAGGGACGUUAGUAAUUCAUGAAACAAAUCAAGGAAAUGAUUUUUAAGUAUAAAAUAAACCGAAAUCCUUAGAAAAUUCAUAUCUCUUGCGUUUAAACCCCGAAUUAAUCCGUUCAAGUUGCGCCGGUUUUAAAAUAAAAUUGCCUACGCAGUAAUAACAAUAUUUGUGUCAUAUCACAGACUUUCAUAAUGAGAUCAUCAUUUAACCUAUGUUCUAACCUUUCUAGAUCAAAAUUAAUCUGUUGAUAAUUAUAACCUGACUAAAAUAUGUUCUCUAAUUAAGAUAUAACUUGGGUUAGGGAUGAAUUGAGGAGUUUAUUUAGAGUAUCCUUCCCACAUGCUUUACAUAGAAUAUAACCUUCAUAUCUGUUCACAUAGAUAUUUCGAAAACCAUCUCUCUUCAACCAUAACCCAGAAUUUAGCAAUUCUUGAACCCACGAUCUCGUUACGACGUGUAGAUUAUUAUUAUGCAGUUUGUUCUUAUGUUUGGUUUAAUGUUAAUUUUGCCUAUACCAUGUUUGUUUGUAUUGCUACGACUAGCGAGAAGUCACGAGUUACUUGAAGAGCAAGUUGGUACCUGGAAUCUCAAGUCCCAGGCAAGUUGUGCCCUUAAUCACUUCUUUUUGUCCAGUCAUGUUCUUAUUAAUCAUAAUGAUCUGCAUAGGUUAAUUUUGAUGUGACCCAAUAGGUUAACCUAGUUCGACUAUCUUUAUACCUUGUUUACCACUGAAUUUUUGGGUAUUGCAUGCUAUUGCUUUAUGUGGUUUUGGGUAUGAAGAUAUACAUUAUUCAUGAUCAUACUUUAUUAUUAGUUUGUUAUUUACUGUUCACGAUAAGAUCAUUAUGUUAAUUGGAACACAGAGAACCACCCGGGAAAACAGUGCUACCACAAGGGUGGUACGGGACGCCCUUGGCUGAGUAAUUAGGAAAGCUAGUGGAGGACUACCUUACCCGAAAGGGGCAAGGGCAGUAGGGGAGUGGUCAGUGUGGAGAGGCCCUUGGGUUGAUUUUGCUGCGAUGGCGGUCAGACGAGGGGUCCCUGCAUUGGAGCUUCCUAGAACUGUAGCGGGUUUUCUGAAGCUAAUGGAACUUUGUAAAGGCCUCGUAGUGUUACCCUGCCUCGCCUCCUCAGUAGAGGUGUAUGGGAAGUCAUGAUCCCUUGGCAGAUGGGUAACAUGACUUGUGGGUAAAGAUGUGCAACCUCCGUAGAUUGUAAAACUGGUAUACUAGCCGUGCUCACGGUCAUGAGUAGCUCGGACACUCACAUGGUUUGGUAUUAUUAUUAUGCAUCGCAUUGAGAUUAUUAUUAUUUUUAUUUACUAUUACCAUGGUUUGGUAUUCACUUACAUUUAGUAACUACUAAUAAAAUUUUGACCAACUUUAAAAGCAAUGCUCAGCUCUAACCAUCCUCUUUGGUAAGCCUUACACUUCACAUGAGCUCCCACCUUUGGCGAGUUCAUGCACAUUAUUCCCCACAACUUGUUGAGCGAUGAAUGUAUGUGAGCUCACUCUUGCUGUCUCACACCCCCCACAGGUCAAGAAUGAGGCGCAUGGAGGAUGCUGUGAUGAGUUCGCGAGAGGUCUAGGUCGUCGUCUCCCAGUCAACUUUAGGUUGCUAGAUCGUUGUCUCCUUUUGAUGUAAUUAUUUAUUUAUUUUGUACAGAACUCCUAUUAUAUAAGUAAAGAUGUGACAUUCGUUUCUGUACCACGAUUCAUCAUAUGUGUGAUACUUGGUCCCAGCACACCUGAUAAAAUAUUCGCGCUCGGGUCUUGGUGCCCCCAAAACCCGGGUGUGACACUUUCCCCCCAUCUCUCCCCCUCGGCGCGAUGGUCGGCCGGCCACCCGUUCUACGCAGGGGCCGUGCACGCCCAUGGCCUGGUCGCCGGUAGCAGCGCCCCCUCCUUUGGAGCCCCACCAGCGGGCCCACUUGUUGGCGCAGUCGUGGUUGGCCCUGGCGGCGGCGGCCAUCCAGCCCGUGCGGCCAAGCCCUCCUCAUCCCACUUCUCCCAUGGCAAUUAUUGCAUGAGAGAGAGAUGUGGGGAAGAAGAAGACCCAUUUUGCGAAAAUGCCCUCAAGGAAACAAGUAAUAAACACCAUAUUUUAUGAGUCUUGUCAUUUUUACUGGCUAACCCCCAAAGUCUAUAAAUUAAUGACGUGUAGACCCCUGUAAUUUCAAACGUACAUAUCUUCCACGUGUAGACCCCCGUUUUGAGUCGUUCAAAUUGCAUUAGGUUCGUACUGACGUUGUCCACAUGUUAAAAAUAUUAUUUCACAAGAUCACAUGUUUCAAACAAUUUAUUAAAUAUUUGUUUGACUAGUGUUUAUUAAAUUAGCGUUCCAAUUAAAUCUAAUUUAAAGUUUUGACUCACGAUUUUAUAAAUAAACAUUAGAGUAGUUAAUACUGACCUAAAUACUUUUUAUUUAACAUUUGUUUAGUAUAAACGCGUCGUCUAUUUAAUAUUUCUCGCAUGUCGCGCGUGCUGUUCCGCACGCGGUGGUGUGCUGGUUCACGCGUCGUGCGCGUGCUGCCAUGCUGAUUCGCGCGUCAUUCAUGUGUUGUCGCGCGUAUUGUUUUGUACGUGUCGUCACACGUUGUCUGCUCGUGUCAUCACUCGUUGUCUGCGCGUGUUGCACAUGCGAGUCGUGUGCGCCGCCACGCGUCUUCCGUGCGCUAAGUCGAGAGUGUCCGUGUCGUUCGCGUGUUGUUCGCGUUGCGUUGCGCAUGUUGUUUCCCGUGCCGUCCACGUGCUGUUUCGCGCAGCGUUGUUUGUCGUCACACGUCAUUCGAGCGUAUCACGUAUGCCAUUUUCACGUGUCGCUUGCCUUGUUGCGCGCCAUUUUCGUGUGUCGCGCGCUGUCCGCGCGCGAUAUCAAAUCGUUUCGCUUAUAAUUGCUCGUGAUAAUUAAUUAAUUACUUGUUCAACCCGACAACGAUUAGAAUAGAAAAUUAAUCGAAGCGAAGUAGUAGUCUUGAUUUACAUUUGAUAAAGAUCAAUUAAUAUAAUUAUGCCGAAUUAAAUAUUCUAAUUAAUACUUAUUUAGUGUAAAUGUGAUUAUCGUGGUUUCUUUCAUCGCGUGACCGUAGACGCGAGCUAUAUUUUAUACAACACGUUUUUAUAAUGUUUUAUCUUGUAUGGUGUAAUGUUCUUAUGCAUGUAUUUAUUUGUUUGUACCGGUUUGUAUUCGCUAUGCGUCGCGAAUAGAUUGCGAUCUGUUCCUGAGCUUCGAGGAAUCGACGAUCAGGCUUCGACGACCAAGUGAAUAAGCUCCUCGAGUUCCACAUUGUUGAAGACUCUGAGCAUCUGUUUGGCGAAGGCAAGUGUCCACUGACCUACUUAUGUCCUAUUCACAUGAUAAUUCACUUCCCCGCAUUACACAAUUGAAACCUAAGGAUUGACUAGCUUUCUAUUUACCUUAUUCUUGAUUACCUUUUGGGUUAUUGUGGUUAGCUUUAUGCUAGCGCUCUACUCUAAUCAAUGAAAAUGAUGAGAAUAUUUAUGAUACAUUGAUGAUAUCUUGAUUAUGAUGAUGAGCUUGUGUUACUUUAGGGGACUCAGGAUGUUUCUCGAGUACCUCUCCAUAAGGACCUAUUCGCUGAAUGACCAUCCGGGAAAAUAGUAUAACCAUGAGGGUGGAAUGGGACGCCCUUAGUUGAUUACUUGGAGGAACUUGGGGGUGUAGUUGGCUUCAUCGUUGUGCCGCCAAUGGGGACCGGUGCAUAGUGCUUGCUCUGCUAAGGGUGGGUGUCGAGGUUCAUUCGAUUUGAUUUUGUUAGUCACCCACCUUAGGGAGCAGUACUGUGUUUGUAUGACUGGUGAAACCUAACGGGCAGCUACACACCAUGGGAAUCUUUGUAAAGGCUACGUAGUGAUACCCGGCCAGAUCACCUAGGUAGUGGUCAAUGGGGAGUAGCGCUCCUCGGGCAGAAGGGGAAUCACGGCUCGUGGGUAAAGUGUGCAACCUCUGCAGAGGAAUGAAACUGAUAUAUCAGUCGUGCUCACAGUUAUGAGCGGCCUUGGGAGCUCCUUUGAUUAGAGUUACAGAUGAUCUGAGGUAAAGUGGUUCCAUUUAUGGUUUUGGCUACGAUGAUGAUAAUGAUGUUCCUCGGUGAGAAAAUGAUUUUACGGGUUGGUUAUUACUAAAACUUGGUUUCUACUAAUAAUAAAUACCUGACAAACUAAAAGCAACUGCUUUGAGCCUAACCCGACAUAAAGCUAGUCCACCUCAGCCAAACAGGACAUUUGCUGAGUACGUUGAUGUGUAAUCACCCUUGCUUUCACAAAACACUAGGUUACCUUUGGUGCAAUCUAUGCGUAGGUAAAGAAGGAGAAGAAAGUGUCGAGGCAGAUCUCCAGGAGUUUCAGGACUCUACGAGUUCGAGGAUUAGGCUAGCGACCUCCCCUAGUAGGCUACCUGUGGUGGUUUUAUUUACGUUGGCUACAUUUCUAUUAUGUGCACUUUGAUCUAUAUUAUGUAAAUGGCUCUAGUCUGUAAUAUUAUUAUUUACUCUUUAUUAAUAUUCGAAGCAUUGUGCUAUGAUGAGUCAUUUAUGUAAUCGCUGUGUACGUGAAUUUUUGAUCUUGACACGUAAAUGGUUCGCAUUCGGUUUACCUUCCAAAACCGAGUGUGACAUAUUGUCUCCGUUGAUUCCAGUAUGUCACUAUAUAAUGCAUGAUUUAAUGUAGAUGGCCACUAGUUAUGUGUGCAAGUUCUAGUUGAUGAAGUGGCAAUAUGUUCUCACUUAUCAGUCCCUGAUAAGCUAAAAUUUCACCAAAACCUGGACAUAUAGGCCAAGUGCAGGUAACCAUAUCAUAAAAAAAAUGCAAUUAUCUUAUUUUUUUGUCAUGUUAUUUCUAUGUUGGAAAUAUAUUUUGGGCUAGGAGGAUGGCCAGACUAUGUACUCUACUUCUUCAUUUUCAGUAAAUUCCCUUUAGAUACAUAUUUGAAAAAAAAUAAGCUUAGAUUUUAUUAUGGCACAGCCAUACAUGGGCAUGAGAAAAAUUAUUGUGUAAACAUAUUUAACAAAUCGUUGAGUAAUGUAGAAACAUGGACCUUGAGAAUCCUGUAUUUAUGUACUAGGAAACCAUAUACUUAGGUAAAUCUUCAGAGGCCAUCUCUAUCUGUUCAUAGCCUUUGAUAAACUUGCUAUACCAUUUAGCAGACAGUUUUGGUGUUCGCUUUAGUGACUUGAAAUUCACAUGACAAAGACCAUACUUUACGGUGUAACCAGAGAUCCAUUCAAAGUUAUCCAUCAAAGACCACACAAAAUAACCUCUCACAUCUGCUCCUUUCCUGCACAGAAGUAGAAACGUUUUCUUAUUACCUGACUGGAGAGUAGUUUACAUGAAAAUAUAAUUGAGGCAUGCAACAACCUUAUUGCAAAGCUCAAGUAAGUGAGGUAGUCACGAAUGUAAGUUGAUCUUUCAGUAUCAUUAAUUAUUUCUUCUGUUGUAGUGCUAAUAUUGGCUAUUUGGGCAUAACCUGAAAGAUAAAAAAGGGAGAUCAAGAGAUCCAUACAGAUAUUUUUAUGGUACCAGUGUACUACAAGUGUAAUAUAUGUAAAGUAGCAUGGAAGUGAAUCAUUGUUAUGUACAAAUGCAUAUAUUUUGUAUCUAAUUUGUAGAUUUUAGUGAACCUAGUAACCCACCAUUCUCUGUGAUGUACAAAGGUAUGUUUUUAUAUCUCUGGUUUAAAUACAUGACCAACUUCUCCAUGGAGCUUGGAACGGCAUAUGUGUUUGCAACAGGUGUCUGCAGUAUUAGUUUAGCUAUGUUAACUUGUGCAGAAUUAAUUUGUAACUAGGAUUCUUGUUGAAUAGAAUAAUGCAAUAUAGAAUGCCGAUUUUUACCGGUUUUCCAAUGGGUAUCCCAUUUCGUUCUGUUGAUAUAGAAACUAAAGCUUCAGAAGGGUAGGCGUCCAUAUCACAUGGAGAAUAUAUGCAAUCCUUAACAUAGAAUGUUUGGUAAUGAUUUACCCCGAUGAAGUCAAUUUGGUUCUUUAGUAGUUUCUUCUCUCCUUCUGUGAAUUUUGGCAAGUUUGGACCUAAGAUUUGGCGCAUCUGGUGAGGAUAGUCACCAAAGAACAAGGGAUCCAAGAUCCUGUUUUAGCAUAUAUCAUCAAGUGAGCAUUCAUUCGUGAAGACCAAAAGUUAGUUCCAAUCAUAAAAUACUAUUAUGAUGGAAGAUUACUGAAUCAAUUGAUACCAUGGAGCAUUGAAAGACAGAGCUCAGCUUACUGCCAAGUGGUCCUCUGUGAUAUUCCUUAGUGGUUCAUACCAUCUUAGAUGUAAUGAAAUUCCUACAAAGCCACCUUGCUUGGACUGAGAAGGAUGGAGAACAAGGAAAACAAAUUAUACAACUUUCAUGAGUAUUUAAGAGCAAGCACGCAGUUAGUCCCCACUCCCUUUUGAUCCAAAUAUUUCUUUUGUACCUUGUAAUUCUUUCUGUAGAUGUUGACCGUCUUUGCAUGAGCUAAUAUCAUGUUAUGCGCUGCAAUGUAGGGCUCAGUUGAUGAAUUCCCUGAAUCACAUUUCCCAUAUGGCUCAGAACAGUGGUUGGGUGGAAAUGCCCCAAUGGAGUAUGCAAGCUUUACAACAAGAUUUGGCUCAUUGAAUGUGACCCAAUGCUUUACUCGGUCACCAAACAUCUUGAAACAAAGCUCAGCGAAGU